rnacentral:lncRNA from 1 species
ACAUUCGGACUCUCGUACACUUUCCCGGUAAAAUUAACACAGCACAUCAUGCUGCAUUGCACGCACGCAUGCAGCUGAUCAUCGACAAGUCGACGGCAAUUGCGAUGAAGAGCUCACAGGCUGGGCGUCCUCUCGGCAGCUCCGGAGAUGACGGUGAGCAGGUUGUUGCCGAAGGGGUCGCUGAGGUGCGCAGAGAGGUUCUCAACGGGGCCCUCGCCAGUGACGUAUGCCUGGAUGAAGAAACCCAGCAUGGAGAACAUGGCUAGCCGGCCGUUCUUGAUCUCCUUCACCUUGAGCAGCGCCGCCUGGUCGGGGUCGCUGGCGAGGCCGAGCGGGUCGAAUGGGCCACCGGGGUGGAGCUUGUCCUCAAGAUCCUGCCGGAGAAAUUGAUGAAAACCGUUGGUCAGUACAAAGUUCCUAAUUGCAGCUCAACUUAUGUAUAUGUUUGAGGUGUUACUGUCACUGACAAGGCCGUUGAUGAUCCUGUAGUACUCGGCGCCUCCGACGAGGACAACCUCGGCGACGACGGCGAGGAUGAGGUUGAUGGGGAUGCUGUUGCCGAAGUAGUUGAGGGUGUUGCCGUCCAGGAGAAGAGCGCCGGUCUGCAUAUGUGUUUGUUCAUGGCACCGUGAGUUUAAACUUCAGAGUUCUGAAUCUGAAUCUGAAUGUGUGAAUACUGAUGAGCAAUUACCUUGAACCAGACGGCCUCGGGACCGCAGUUGGCGCCGAACUUGUUGCACGCCUCGGGGAUGAUGAAGCCGGCAGCGCCGAGCAUGGCCCAUCUGGCAUGGAUCAGCUCAUAGGCCUGGUACCUGAAGAAUAAGGUGUGGGAAAGGAUUACUUAGUUGAUAGAAUAUUUUGUUUAGAGUGAGACCGUAGGUUAACAAUUUUAGGUCUGUAUUUGCAAAAUGCAGAUCACUACUUACUUGGUGAAGUCAUCUGGCUUCUUGCUCAGACCGAAAGGAUCAUAGCCAUAGCUGAAAGUCCAAAGGGAAACAAAUAGGUCAGUUCAGUUGCAUAUAUAAUCUUAGUCUCUUAGUUUUGCAUGAGCAUUUCAGUAAUAUGAGCAGUGAGGCAAUGCUGCAAAGGGAAGACAACUUUAAUUCAAAUAGUCUGAAAGAUUCGAGAAAACAGUGGCAUUUCCACAAAGAUGAAAACUAAUUUAUGCUACACUGCUCACUACAGAACUAGCAAAAUAGGUACGAGUACCAUAUCCAUAUAAAUUUGCCGUAGUACUAAAUUACUACUACAGUUCAAAGGAUGGUUAAAUUGUGGAGGGUAAAAAUGGAAGCAUAUGACUUACUCUCCAGGAACCUCUCCGUUGAGGUACUCUGGCACCUCUGACCGGUCAAGGAGACCGUCCGGCAAGAAGAUCCUCCUGUCAGGGCCUGAAAACAAGAUUAAAAAAAUAGUACUUAGGUAUGUAUGAAUUUUCAGAACAAAUUAAUUACCUGAAAUGUGUUCAAUCUCAUAUGGAAGUUUUCUUUGUACUCACCAUACCACUUGGCGAGCUCGUCGUCGAUGUCUGCGCCCGAGGAGGAUACUGGGGCGGGCUUCGGCUUCGCAGCGGGCUUUUUGUUGAAGCCCCCGAAGAGGGAGACAAUCUUCUUCGCCCCAGCGGUCGGUGCCGCCGUGGUGUAGCUGGAGGAGCCGGUGAAGUUGAGCCGGGUGCCCAGCAUCUUCGUGGGAGCGAGCGCCGCCAUUACCUCAGGCCCAAAGUUCACAGAGAGGUGUGCUCAGCUCAGCAGGAAAGGUGUGAUGGGCGUUUGUGGAGGGAAAGGUGGGGUAGUUUAAAUGGAUGGAAAUGAGGAUUGGAGGAUGUUGUGGGCCCAGGCAAGAUUGGGCCAAAGGGGUUGUGAUUGGCUGUGUGUUCAGGAGGGCUAUCUGUUGCUUGGAUUUGAUUGGCCUGCCUUUGCUGACUUGGCAGAUGAGGGUGCUGGUGUGGCUCCAUUAGAGCCUCUUGUUAUCUCGUUUAUCAAGAGCCAGGCGGUACUAAAUGGUCCAAAUGCCAUAGAUAGAGACACAGGGAGAACGGAGAACCAAGGAUAGAGAGAGAGCGAACACAACAUUUUCAAGCAACAUACCCACCCCUGAGUUUCCACACACCACCCCUGAGUUUCAUCAGAACUUCAUAACAUCAAAUUAUGCUGGAAUUUAACAUCUGAGACGAGCAACACAAAUAACGGGACAUAAGCCAACAUGUACACCUAGCACAAUAGUGUUCAUCGGUCUGACAUUUUUUUUCUAACUACCAGAAUGUUAACACUUGAAGAAUUUUAAGCAUUAACACUAAUAGAAUUUCAGGAUCCUACUUAAAUACUCCCUCCGUUCCUAAAUACUUGUCGCUGUUUUAGUGCAAAAGCAAGUUUGUACUAAAACAGCGACAAGUAUUUAGGAACGGAGGGAGUACAAGUCUAUCUAGUGACGGACUGAUCAACAUUCAAAAUAAGAAAUUACAGUGUGAUACAAUAGAUGUGGCUAAAGGUCAGCUGCUAAUCCACAUCAAUGGCAUACUGUUUGUAAUCCUUGACCAAUACCAGAUCUUGACAGCUAACAGCGGCAGCCAUAUGGUGGUGCAGCCGAUGCUCAACUCUUCACAGCUCACAGCAGCAGUCAUUUGGCAGUGGAGCUCAACGCCAUUUUUCAAUAUGUUUUGAAGUUGCGCUCGCAAGCCUUUUGGUGUUUACAACCAGCUCGUCAAACAAAGCAGCAACAUUCUCCCUGGAACAGAGAGAGGAGGAAAGGAUGAGCAACAUUGAGUAGAAAUAUGCAUGUUUAUUUUGCAUGCAGAUUGAGUAAGUUAUGUCCCAAGGGUGCCAAACAAGAAAUAAGGUGGAGAAAGCCAUAAGCCAGUAACUUGACAAAUUUCACGGUGACAAGAAAUGAUAGAGUUGUGCAAAAGCGAGAAUAUAUGUAGUUGUCCUCUCAGCACAAACUAGAGAACUGCUUAGAUGUUCUAGAUUUUGAAGUAUGUUAGCAUGACAUAUCUUAUGCUCUGUACUACAGAGCUUUCAGAAAAAUAUAUUAGCCUGACAUUAUACUGCAGCCAAACGUAUACACAUUUAACUGCGAGGAACGAGUACUGUUUGGGAAUAUGCUGACAAAGAAAACUGAUUAAAAUAAUAGGAGAAGAAUUGCAGUUUAUGCUCUACAGAAAACAAUCUGACACAACUGGCAUUAGAGUACAGCUCAGGUUUAUGAAAAUUCUGAAAUGAACACUCACAAAUCUGUUUCUGCACCAUGCGAUCAGCUUUUUUUAAUUUGAAACACACAUACUGUCAGAAAUAGAAUUUGUAACAAAAUAUGGUAUUCCAGUUUAAGUCAGGAGUCAGGAAUGAGUUACUAGUACUAUUUUUUUUUGUGGAAGUAGUUACUGUUAGAACUAUACUGUACGGACACUAUGUGCACACGACAUACUAGAACGUCACUUCAAAUAUCUCACUAUCUACUGUUAACAUCCUGAUAGAAACAAGGUUUUAGAAAAACUGCACUGGACUUUUUUAGAAAACUCAUGAAGGGGCUAGGUUUUAUGAAUUCUCAAAGAGACUCACGAUUUUCACUAAGUUUCAUUAUUGCACAUAAAAUUAUUAUUUCGUGAUGUUCAGUGAGAAACAUUUUUCUCUGAUUUUCUAUGGGUCGCACUUUACAUAGUUAUUUUCACUUAAUCCAAGUGUUUAAGUUUUCAAGUGUUACAUGUAUAUAGUAUGUGUACAGUUAAUUAGUUUGGAUGUGAAAUGUUGCAGUACAGUAGUUUGGACUAACUAAUAAGGUCAUAUCACGUCUAAUGCCCAAUGUGUAAAAAGAUGGUGCUUAAGCUAAUUGAUUGGGCUCUGGUAUGGAUUGAUUGCUCGGUUUCUUUUCUUUUGUUGCCUUUGGUAAUCGAAUACUGAAGCAGGAUCUUCUUCUGCAAUUCUCCAGUCAUACCGCCAAUCAUCUAGUUUGGAUAACUAUGUGGGAAUGCUUCAUGUGACUAUGUGAGCUCGUCUGUUACUUCAAAGCAUAAACAAUAUUGCCUAAGGUUCUUCCUCCAAUCUCAAUUGGUCAUCUGUGUGAUUUAAUGCACAAGUCAAUGUUCCCUAGCAUUUUUACGGACUGUGUAGAUUGUUAAUUUCAAAAAUUAGUAUUACAAUAUUUGCACCUUACCCUUGCCAUCCAGAUAGCUCAUCUUGCAAAUUUAAUGACAUGAGCAACGAUAAAUAGAGUAAAACCCCAAAGUUAUUGAACAUAUCUUACAAUGUUAGCAAUCCAGCAUAGCAUGCAUAAAACUGUCUGUUAGCACAAAUGUCACUAAAUACUUUCAUGCCCACACAAUACUUACGUAGGCAGAUUUGGAGCUUCUUGGAACAUUCUGCCAACAUUUGAGUGCCUUUUCUUUUCGUCAUAGGCAAUCCCUUUGCCCAAGCCGUAACCAAAACCAAAUCCUAUACCACAUCCAGCUCCAACUCCAAAGCCUAAAGUGAGUCCAGGAAAUCCAUAACCUAAUCCUGAACCUGCAUUAUUCAUGCAACAUAUAAAGUUAUACAUCAUUUAUUACAGAAGUUAACACAAAAUAUCAGGAAAAGGAAGCGAGAUCCCAGAGGAUCAAAAAACAGUAUACAAAUUACAAAAUGAUGGAACGGUAGUAUUGGAAAAAAUAGUUUACAAGUGGCAAGAAUGCUGUUCAUUCUGCAACACAUCUGCCAGAAAGUUUACAGAUGCAGACAAUUGGCCUCCUCUCAUGCGCCCAAUUGUAAUGAUAUUGGGUUCACAAGUUGAUUCUAUCCCAUCAAUGGUACCAACCAAAUAUAACAAUUUUCCAUAUAAAAAGUCAACUACUUCCUCAGUCCGACAAAGAAUGUCUCAACUUUGACUAAAUUUGAAUGCAUCUAUACAUUAAGUCAUGUCUAGAUACAUCCAAAUUUUGACAAAGUUGAGACAUCUUUUGUUGGAGGGAGGGAGGAUAACAAUUGCAAAAUUACCAAAACCGAAACCCUCCAACCAAGACACCGAGCAGCACAUAUCAGCAUGUGCAACAAUCCAAUCUGUGAAUACCCCUCCCCUUACGAGCUAUUAGGCUGCUUUGACUAGAUGAGUCUUAGAGCAAACCCUACCUCGUUGACUCCACUAAACCCCACCCUGACUAACCUUCAAAUACUCAUCAUGUUGUCAAGCAGCUCGUCAAGAGCGAAGAGCAAUGCGGAAACAAGGAGCAGGGAAGAAAAACGAAAAACACAACAGGAACUCAAAGUGAAGGAGGGAUUUACCGCCGAAGAAGCCGACUCCGGCGCCCACGCCGCAGCCGAAUCCGAGGCCAAAGGCGGGGCCUAUCUUGCCGAGCUCCCUGGAGGUGACCUCAGGCAGCCUCCAGAGGAGCCCCUUGUCGCCACCCCCACCUCUCUUCCCCGCCUUCGCCGUCCCCAUCGCCUUCCCCUCUCCGUCUGGUCCUGUUCGUGUUGAACUGAGGGGUCCAGGACCUCCGGGUCUCCGAGAAGAUUGAAGAAUGAAGACUCGUGCGGAAAAGCUGAAACAAAGGGCCCAACGAUAACUUGCCCAUAUAGAGCCGGAAGGAAGAUGGCCCAGACAAAAGUCUAAGCAGCUAUUGGGCUGAAAUAGAGAGGGCAGCCCUUGGGCCCGCGGAGGCAGAGCGGAGGACUUUUUUUUUCUGAGGUGACAGAGCGGAGGACUUAAAUGGUGUUUUUUUUUUCCGAAAAUAAGAUGGAAAGCAUCAAAUAUUUUUUGAGAAAUGAUGGAGAGCAUCAAUUGAUACACACAAUUAUUUUUAUUUCAAAGUCAUAGAACACAAGUCAUACAAAACACAGAUCAGAGAACACGAAUACAAAUGUAUGCAGGCAGAAAUGGUCUAACAUAGUCAGUCUAUGUAUUAAAGCAAACGAUUAGAACAACUUGAAUGCCAUGGAUAAUGGUAAACAAUGCUGCUUCGCGGUUGACCCCGCUGAUCGAUGGAACAUGGAAGAGUCUACUGGCUGCACCUUGGCAUUGACCGACUAGUGCUGCACCGCGAUAUCGUCGCGGGAGAAGAGGCAAUUUAAUUUUGCAACCACCUGUCCUUAAAACUGGUUUUACGCAUGCUAGAGAUGCUCUACGCAACAAGGUUAGAAAGAGCAUGAAACCUUGGUUUGUUUACCUACACUUGACUCUUUUCAUAUUCCAGUUUGAAGUGUUCCUUUUAAUCGGUAAUCUAGCUUUAAGUGUUGAUCCUGCCGCUACAUACGCGUUCUUCCCCAAAUCAGAAACAAGCUGGUGGCUGCACAGACCUUGUGGUCCAUUCUUUAGUACUACUAUAUCAAGACAUUUACCAUAUUGUUAUUAGAAAAUCCCGAUUACCACAUGUAACGUACUCUUCGAUUACCGUACGUGCAGGAAGAGAAUAUAGUACUGCACGUACUGAGAGAGUAGUAGUUAAUUGGUGUACGCACUGCCGCUGGAUCUUGUUGUUUUUCGAGUACCAUGCACGUUGCUCGCUUUGUGUGGAUGCAUCGUGCAUAUCAGACCAUCAGUAGUAUAUCGCAUUUUUCUCAAUUGGAAGUAGCUUAGCCCGUGGUUGGUACAAGUUUUGCAUCUGGUCCAUUCAACAUGCCAUAAUACUAUAUCAAUGCAUUUACUACAUUAGUGUGUUCAAGAAGAUCGAUCGAUCUCGCAAACGUACACGCUUGAGGUGUGCAAAUGCAUGAGUGUACUUGCAUAUGGGCAUGAGAAAACAAUGCAGGUCCGUGCCGAGAUAUUUGACAAGUCGGCACGAGCUUGAAUUUGAUUCCACUCCGGUCCGGUCAGACAUACUUCCUUCAAUCCAUGUCUCAAAUUUAAUACUUCCUCCGUCCAACAAAAAAUGUCUCAAAUUUGUUAGAAUUUGAAUGUAUCUAAAUGUGAAUUAGUGUAUAGAUGCAUUCAAAUUUGGUCAAAGUUGAGACAUCCUUUGUUGGACGGAGAGAGUACAAGCUUAUAUUAAGUUACUCACUCCGGCCGGAAUUAUUUGUUGAAAUAUUCAUGUAUCUAGACGUUUUUUGAACAUAGAUACAUUUAUAUUUGGACAAAUUUGAGACAACUAAUAUGGACGGGAGAGAGUAGCAUGAGACAAAUAUUAUGGAUCGGGCAGAGCACGUGUUAACGAAUUAUGUUGCGGUACGCUGGCCCUGAUCAUUACGGCGGCCACAGGGUUGCAAGAGUACUUGUGUAGGCAGUGGUAUGUACGCAAGUAGUACAGCUAUGUCAUGGAAACUUAAUUGAAAUCUGAGGCUCUCCCACGGAUGGGAUCUCGAUCGUUCUGCCAAAACCUUCAUGAACCUGUUAUAUGUGCCGGUCGUACCAAGAAAACAAACAAACUCUUUCCUAGCUCGAUUGUAAGUACAAAUCUUGCAUUGCUAGCUCUCCCUAGCUGAAAUAUAUAUAUGCACACGCCCAAAUAAAUGUGCAUGUACAGUUCAUAAUUUUGGGGCCAAAAUGUGUACAAAUCAGAGCCACGAGUAGCCACUGCCGGAAUCGAUCGAUAUGUAGCUCGCUUAACUUCACCUCACGUACGAUCGGCGCUCGAUCAUGUAUCUGUGUCGUAUGUACCGCUUGUGCAAGUUCAUUUGCACUUUAGAUAUAGGACGUACAGCUAGGUGCCAUUACCCAUGCGUACAUCCUAGCUAGGAUUGCCUAUGCAUGGUACGAGAAUGCACUUUGUAUUCUGGCAUCCAGCUAGUGUUCCCUGUAUUUUUAAAAUAAUAAUAAUAAUCAAAAACCAUAUUGAUGAGUUUCGAUAUUUUUUCACGUGAAAUAUAUAGGCUUUGCUAUACGACACAUUUAUUAAUAAUUGAUAAAUAUUUCAUCUAUGGGCUACACAGAAAAAUGAAUAAUGUAAUAAUGGAUGCACUAUUUGCUACUCCCAGAUUUGUGCUAGGUGCCAAGGCAGCUCUCGUUUCUAGUGCCUGCCACUGAUAUUGGGUUAAUAAUAAAUGGAUGUGAGUAGUUAUUUGCCGGGUGCGGGUACUAAGAGAAAAAUGAGAUCCAUUGUGAAACAAAUGAGAAAAAUCUAUACGCGUUCUAUUGUGGAAUGCAGUGAGUAUUGUAGAACAAAAAUGGAUAUAUUAUCAAUUAAUCAAGAUAUGUACGUAUGUAUACAUGUACAUGUACAUGUGGAACGUUUUUUAAAAACUCCAAAAUAUGAUAUUAUUAUCUUUUGUAUUUUUUAAAAUACAGAAAGUACUGGAACCCAAGAGCAAAAUUCGCUCCAUACUAGAAGUACACACCAACAUACAAGUACUCAUCAAUGACCUUUGAAAAAAUAUAUCCCAUAUAUUUUUCUGAGCCGUCACAGAAGCCGUUGGUGGCCGCAUAUCGUUCCAGGAUAGAAAUUUGCGGGGAUGUUUUUUUUUUUUAAAAAAAAAAUCUAUCGAGAUUGCAUGGGAAGACUAGAUCAGACCAUCGAUCUAGGCUUCAGGCACCAUCGUCGUGGCCGGAAGGAGGGAUUAUUGGCAACACGGUUGAGGGGAGGGAGAUGGAGGUGGAUGAUGGAGCUUCAACUUCCUAACUGUGCGAGCGCUCACCGUGGACAACAGAGGCUGACAUCGAAGUUGUGGAAGAAGAUGAUAGCUAGAAGUGAAGAAGCCCUUUGCGAGGACAAUGACAAGUACGAAGCUUCAACCCUCUACACCGAUUCAACAAACUUUGAUGACGUAUGGGAGCACCAAGUUUGACGAUGCAUUUACCAUUCCACAUUAUGGCCAUUGCAAAAGUUUGAUCGGUCACCAUGUGUGCCCCAACACACAACUCAUACCCGCCAUUAUAGAGUACUCCUUCCGAUCCUUUUGAACUAAAAUAACGACAAUAAUUUGGGAUAGGAAGGAGUAUUUAUUAUUAGUGUUCGACUUUGGCCUUCAAAAUAUUUGGCAGCCUAUGACAGUUUUGAAAUUUUGUCCAACUACCACGUAUGCAUCAUCUCCACAAAUCUUGCAAAAAUUUCAGCCGACCAAAAGCCAAGGUAUCAUAUUUGGCUAGUGAUGGUGGCCGUCACUAAUUCAUAGGGCUUGAAUUGGUAGUUUGGUACUCCAUAUUAUCCAAACGUACCUACCCACACCACAUAAAUGUUACUCUCUCUGAUCCUAAAUUGUUGACUUAAAUUUGAUCAAAUAUGAAUGUAUUUAUUCUUAAAAAAUAUCUAGAUACAUGUAAUAUUUCAACAACAGUUUAGGAUCAGAGUGAGCAGCACAUGGAGUGAUCGCUGCUGAAUCCUUGUUCAGUAUUUCUGGCCGGGCCAAAAUUGAACCACGAGGACAAGUCACAUGCGUGCACGUCCAGUGACCCGCGUGACAAAGAGCAGUACCAUAUAGCAAAAUUGAUUGCUUUUUUCCUUAAAGCACAAGCACGUACGCAUGGCGUGAUGAUGAAGAGCCAAGAUUUUGGCGGCCGGCGGCGUCACUGCACGGGGGGUUGACAUCCUCGCAAAGAUUUCUGGGAAUGAACGCCGCGUACAUCACCCACAGUGUACGAACGUUCAGAGCUACGAGCGGCCACGGGCCACUAGUCCCACUACUGUAAACGUGACGACUUACACCUGGGCGUACGGCCUCGCAAUUCUUAACUUCCUCGCAUUACGCGCACAAACGCGAGGACACCGUACGCACCGUACGUGUGUGCAAAGUUUGAUUGUAGCUCGGGACGAAAUUAAGGCGCCGGAUUUGUUUGUUUCUAAAUCCGAUGGCAACAACUUAUGCAGGAUCGGACGUCUGGGCUCAUGCAGGCGACGGUGAUGCUUCUCAGAAGCCGUGAUGGGCGGCGUCCAGCGGCUGGGAAUAGGAUGUGUCUGCUGUCCUCUUAAACUCUUCUCUCUAUUUGGCUCGUGUGGGUCAACAAUGAAGUUUAUCGCCACUCUGUUUUGAGAUUUUGGGAGUUUCUGGCUCUGUAGGACUAGAUAUUUGGUGGCAUCAGGUUUUCAACCCAUACAGUUCCGACCGAGCCGGCUGGGACACAGUAGGUUUCCUGGUGGUGUCAGGAUCCGCUUCUCCCCAUUCUCUUGUGUUUUUCUUCCUGUAAAGCUCUAAAACAUUGUUAUUUCCGUUUCAAUGAAAUGAAAAAUGAUGGUCAUCCGAAAAUAAGCUCUAAUGCAUCCAACCAAAAUAUUGUCAGGUAGAAUUAGGUACCAAAUUAGUCUGUAAAAGCGACCCCACCAGCCUCCAGACCACACAAGCCACACCACAAGUGAAAAAAAAAUGCCUAGCAGAUUCCAAUUGAUCAAAAAAAGAACACACAGGAGAACCAGACCAAUUCUUUUUCCUUGUGUAUAAAAGCCAUAAGAAAAUUUGAAUUUUCAGGAGAAUUUUUGCUUUCCAAAUCCAUCUAUGAUGGCUGCCAUGAAUAUUUCUUUCCAACCACUUAUACAUUGAUCUCACAGAAUAUACUUCUCCAAGGACCAGCACAAAUUUUCUGGUCCAGUAAAAUAAAGAUCAGAUGUUUUGCUUUUUGUUGGAUUUUACCAUGUAUAUCUUCUUUUUGGUUAAUCCUUCAUGUUCUUUUAGUAUAUAAUUGUCUGAUUUUCAAUAACCAGUUCUCAUUCUGUUCUGUUUUAUACUUUCACCAAAAUGGGCAGCUUUGAUCUUUCUGCCAAAAUAAUUUCGAAACGAUGUGAUGAGUAUUUAAAUCCUUGAAGGUAAUAGGAGGAAGAAAUUCUCGCAAAAAAAAAAUAAGCGGAAGAAAUACAUCUCAAUCAGGUCAAACUCCAGAUUCAUAGUCAAGUCUUCCCCGGCCGAAACCGAGAGUGAUGUUCACCAUCUCAAUCAGUGGAACCUCCACCACUCACGAAAGCAAUCAUUCACGACAGGUAGAUAAGAACAAAUCAGCCAUCAUACACUACACCUCAUGCACCUCAGUCUUAGACAAAUUUACUAGCAAAAUGCCUUCCACUGGCUGGCUUAUAUUACUUCUCCUUGUUCUUACAAAGCUCACGUUCAGUGGUGUCCAUGGCAAUCUUCCUAGAAAUUCUGUCCAUUGCCUUCCAGACAAGGCUGUGUCGCUCCUUCAGCUGAAGCAAUCCUUCUCCUUCGAUUUCUCUACCACCACCCUCCCUUCAUGGCAAGCCGGUACCGACUGCUGUCUUUGGGAAGGCAUUAGCUGCGACGUCUCCUCCGGUGAGGUCACUGCCCUCAGCCUCGCCGGUCGAGGCCUGUAUAGCUAUGGCAUAGACAGUGCAAUCUUCAAUCUCACCUCCCUGCAGCAUCUUGACCUUAGCAGGAACAAUUUUGGUGGGUCACACCUUCCGGAUGUCGGGUUUGAGAGGCUCUCUUUGCUCACCAACCUCAACCUCUCUGGUUCAGGUCUCUAUGGCCAGAUCCCUAUCAGCAUAGGGUACCUCACAAGUCUCGUCUCCCUUGAUCUCUCCAACAGAGACGUGACUACUUACUUUGCAAAUAUGUUGGUGUUGUGGGAACCGAGUUUUAUGGUGUUGGUGGCAAAACUCACCAAUCUAAGGGAGCUUUACCUAGAUUGGGUGGAUGUAUCUGCUAGUGGAGAAGAGUGGUGUGGUGCCCUGGCAAGACAUGUUCCUCAUCUUGAGAUUCUUAGCUUGGACCUAUGUAGGCUCUAUGGUCCAAUUCAUGUGUCCCUCUCAAGAGUUCGCUCGCUUUCUGUGAUUAACCUCCAUAGUAACUACAGAAUAUCUGGUGCAGUUCCGGAUUUUUUUGCAGAUUUCCAAAAUCUAAGUGUUCUUCAGCUUGGUGAUUGUCGUUUUGAUGGGCUAUUUCCUCCAAGGAUCUUUGAACUAAAAAAACUGAGAGUCCUUGAUUUGUCCUAUAACUCAAACAUGUUGGUUCACCUUCCAGAUUUUCUGAAUGGAAGUUCUUUAGAGAUAUUAAAUAUACAAGAUACAAAUUUCUCUACUGCCAGCCCAAGGUCCUUCAGCAACCUCAAGUUUCUCGAGGAGCUACACAUUGAUGGGAAAUAUAAAUACCUCACGGUGCUUCCUCCAUCCUCAUUUAAGUCCUUGAAGAAGUUGCACUUGUCUCAGCUAGAAUCAGAAACACCAGCCUCCUGGCGGAUUGGGGAAGCUCAGAACUUAACAUAUUUGGAAAUUUCAAGCAGCAACUUCUCCGGGAGAACGCCAUCUUGGAUUGACAAUCUCAGAAACUUGAGGAAAUUGCAAAUCUAUGACUGCAUCUUCUCUGGGCCUAUACCAUCAACAAUUGGGAAUCUGAUGAAUUUGACAGAUUUGGCACUUCAGAAUUGUGGUUUUUCUGGAAGAAUACCAGCAUGGGUUGGUAAUUUAACCCAACUAUCUUAUUUGGACCUUGACACGAAUCAUCUGAGUGGUAAGUCUACAUACCAAAAUAUUAUUCCAAUCACCACAAAUCUAUGAUGUAACUGCACAAUUUAGUUUUAUGAGAUUUUUUAUUGAAAAGAAGUGUUUUACUUAGAUUUAUUUAUUGAAAUAAGUGUUUUAAUGAGAUUUUUCUUUUCAAAAAUAUUAUUGCACGGAAAUCACAUUUGAAUGUGUUAUGGGUGCUUUAAAAAUUCAUUUGAUGGACCUAUAUACAGUGUACUAUAGGAUUACACCCACCAAGUUAGUGGUUAGUUCUGAUUAAGUGGUCAAUAUGGGAAUAUACUGUUUCAUUUAUUUAGUUUUGGUUACUUCAAAAAAACUGGAAAGUGAAGAUCAGGGGCCAAUUAACCUAAGAGCGAGCGUGCCGGCGAAUACGAACCAAGGCCCCGAGAUAGUUAUAACAGUAUAGGGGCCAAUUAACACAAAAUCCUUUUUAUCCAGUAUUAAUUUGGAACCACGUGCAUCUAAAGCAUCCUUUACAAAAAUCAAUGUAGUUGUAUGCAACCUAGAGCAAUAGCAUGAAGAACACGACACGAACACGAAGAACAGUUAGAACAGAACGUAAUAGGAACACAAGCUAGGAAACAAAGCGGAGUCGAGAACAGAAUCACAGUAGAUGUAAAUGAUAGCCCUUUGGGUCAGAUUGUUUUGCAUUGAAUUAGUUUAACUUGUCCUGUCGCCAGUGGGCCAGGGAAGGUACAGCGGCCAAAGAAAUACACAAGCUGUCAAGCUAUUCUGCUGGUGGCGACAUUUCGUAGAUCCGUAGAGGAAGUUGUGCUUAGCACCGACGAUUGUAUGAUAUCAAUAUGUUACGCAUGUGAAUCCUAUUCUGGUAACUUUAUUUCUGAUGCAAAUGAAGAAGAAUGAUUGGAGCAGAUUUUAACUGAACUGACAUUUAUUUUGCUUAUUCUCAGGGGAAAUACCAGAUUCCAUAUUUACUCUUCCAGCAUUACAGAUGCUGGAUCUUUCUUCAAAUCGACUUUCUGGCAAGCUAAGGGACUUUCUUGCUUCAUCUUCUUCCUUGUAUUGGAUUGACAUGACUGACAAUGAAUUGGAUGGGUCAAUAAAGUCACUCAGCCAACUAAAAAGAUUGCAUGCACUCUUUCUCGGUUCUAAUAACUUCAUGAUAGAUCAGGUAGAGCUCAAUUCGUUGUUGGGAUUAAGAGAACUCCGGGCACUGGACCUGUCAAAUAAUAGGCUGUCAGUAAUAGAGGUGACAGAUGGACAAGGAGUUUCAGUUCCUUCUGUAUCUCGACUUCAAGUUUUGGACCUAGCAUCCUGCAACCUAACUAAAAUUCCAGAUUUUCUACAGUUUCUGCACCAUGUCGGUUACUUGGAUAUUUCUAAUAACCAUAUUUCCGGCAGUAUACCUAAGUGGAUAUGGGACAAUUGGAGUAAUACACUUCUCUAUCUGAACUUGUCAAACAACAAUUUUUCUAGCAUGGAACUAUCUUCGCCUUUUCUUCCAAAAGCCCUACAAAUUAUUGAUCUUAGCUCCAAUAGACUCCAGGGAAAGGUCCCUAUUCCACUGAAGCCAACAAACCUACAGUUCUUGGACUACUCAAAUAACAGAUUCUCAUCAAUCUUAAAAAACUGCACCUCAUGCCUUGGAAAAACUUUCUACCUUAAGAUGGCAAAUAAUAGAAUAAGAGGAGAGAUCCCACACUUCAUUUGCAACGCGAGCAAGCUUGUAAUUCUUGAUUUAUCUAAUAACAGUUUCAGUGGAACGAUUCCAUCAUGUCUAAUACAAGGUGGCCAUCUCAGCAUAUUGAAUUUGAGGGACAAUCACCUCGAAGGAAGACUAGCAUCUAGGGUUGACAAGAGAUGCGCUCUUCAGACAAUAAAUUUGGGUGGAAAUAGGAUUGGAGGUCAACUUCCCUGGUCACUUUCUAACUGCAAGGAUUUGGAGUUUCUCGAUCUGGGUAACAACCAAAUUGUUGACUCUUUUCCACAUUGGUUGGGAAAGCUUCCCAAGCUUCGCAUUCUGGUCUUGAGAUCAAACCAGCUCCAUGGCACAAUAGAAAAUUCUCCAGGAGAUGAUGACUAUGGAGAACACUUUUCAAGUAUGCAAAUAAUUGACGUUGCCUCGAACUAUUUCUCUGGCAAUCUGAGGUCACCAUGGUUUGAAAAUUUACAGUCUAUGAUCAAAAGUUCUGAUUUCGAAGGAGACAUUAUAAAAGCUCAAAACGUGACAGGAUCUUAUCAAGAUAUUGUCACCGUAAUGUUCAAAGGGCAGUACAUGACAUUCGAGAAGAUAUGGACCACUCUUACAAUGAUCGACUUCUCGGAUAAUGCAUUCACUGGUUCCAUUCCUGAAUCAUUUGGAAGACUUGGUCAACUACAUGGACUCAACCUGUCAAAUAACAUGUUGACAGGAGAAAUUCCAGCACAACUAGGUGGUAUGACUGCUCUGGAGUCAAUGGAUCUAUCUUCAAACGAGCUUUCUGGGGAGAUACCAGAGGAGCUGACAGACCUCACUUCUCUAGGUACCUUGAAUUUGUCCAACAACCAAUUCAUCGGAAAAAUACCGGAAUCGCGCCAAUUUGGAACGUUCCAGAACAAUUCGUAUGAAGGGAAUGCAGGACUGUGUGGACCGCCCUUGUCCAAACAGUGUGACAGCCAAGGAGGUGGACCAAUUGGAGUGCUUGCGAGCAAGUCCUCAGAUCAGGUUGAUGUCAUUUUGUUUCUCUUCAUCGGCAUAGGAUAUGGCCUUGGGUUUGCAGCAGGUUUACUAAUCAAAUGGAGUCGCAUAGGCAAGUGGUUCAGGACAACAAACACGUCUUGAUAGUGCGCAAGCAAAGGUUUGUCUGCGGAGUGCAACUAUGCCUAUGCUGAAUUUUGAAGUAUUUGUUGUACUUACAUUGUUGUUAUCAGCACCUGCAGCUUCAUAAUUGCAGCAAAAAAAAAUGUCUCUACUGCAAGUUGUCUUUCUGUUGCUAUCAGUGUCUGUACUCAGCAAUCAAAACUUUGUACUACGUGAUUUGCAUGUUCAAGAACGAUCUAAAUUUCCGUAUAUUUUUAAGGCAGAUUUUAUUUCGGAUGAAAACCUAAAAUGUACAUGAAAAUUAGUUCUGGGCUCACAUUAGCGAUAUGUACAUAUAGGUAAAGGAAGAACAAUUGUAAAAUUCAGAUUUCAUAUAUUACAUGUCUUAAUUGAACCAGAGUCCAGAAACAGGACCAUAAUAAGCUGAACAGAAACAAAUGAUUCUGAAUCUGAAUGAACAAGCAUGCCAAGAAGAGAAGAGACCUGUGAACCUCUCUUGUUCUCGAGGUGGGUGCUCCAUUCCCGCCAGCCAUGGUCUACCUUGAGUGAUUCUUCCGCCCAUCACGAUCACGAUGCCUCCAACGGCCGGCUCCUGCGCCCUCCUUCCUUGGCGGAGCAUCUAGGCGACGCGCCGCCCAAUGUCGUGGUGCCCCCACCCGCGACUUGACGGCUGCGGCGAAAGGACGUGGCCGGCGGCGCGUAGAAGGCCGCCGGAUUCCCAUAAAAAAGAAGCGUGCGGCAGCAGCGCAUCUCCGCCGGUCGCCGGAGAGGGAAGGGGAAAGGCUUCGAAGAAAAAAGGGUAGCGGGGAUGAUACUUGAGCCGGUCUUUCUACGCUCUUGUACAAGGCGACCAAAAAGAGCAAAAUGCACCGUAGCUUGUAAAACUACGAAAGAUGUGUCAAUUCGGUCCUCACGACAUAAGUUUGUAAUGCAUUUUUAGUGGUCAGCUAAGUUAGAUGCUCUCUUCCUCCAAAAAAUACAAACACAAAUUGAAAAUUAAGUGAAGAAAGAAUUGACACGGUACCAUUGUACAAAACCAAAGGUUUCAAUAUACCACUCAAAUAAACAUCCUUUCCAAAAAACCACUACAAUUCAGUUUUUCAUGCCAAAAUGCCGCUAUCGUCAAUUGACUGUUAGUCAAAGUGGUAGAAAGAUGCCAGUAAUCUUACUAUUUCAAUAUUAUCCUUCUCCUUCCUCAUGCGACACGAUAAUGGCAACUCUCUACUGUAAUGGUAGAUCGUAGCUUUGUUUUUUUUCUCAACGUGCGCAACUCUGAACCACUAUCUUUUGUUUGCUGCUAUCUAAAUGCUACUGAAAUGUUGAAGGUUGUCCAAUUGAUGUCGAAAUUUGUCCAAAUGUGCUACUAAAAUCUGUCCAUAUGUGUUGCCGAAGUGUUGUUGAAAUAUGUCCAUAUUAUUGUUGAAAUGAUGUCUGAAUGUGCUGCUGAAAUGCAAGCAAAUGUUGUUGAAUUGUGAAGAGGCGAGGGUAUAUAUGCAGGGACGGAGUCAGAAAUUUGACAUGAGGGGGCGAGUUGGGAUUAGGGGGGCGAAAUUAAAGUCUUCACCUAUUUUAAAGUGAUUUUUAAUGAGCUGAUUAGUAAGUAUUAACUAAAAUGAGUCCAUUUUUGUGGUUGUUAGGGGUUGUUAGUCUUUAGUGGUAUUUUGACAUGAAAAACUGAAUUGUAAUGGUAUUUUGGAAAGGGUGGUUAUUUGAGUGGUAUUUGAAACCUUUGAUUUUGCAUAGUGGUACCAUGUCAAUUCUCUCUCAAGUGAAUGUUUUCUUGUUGAAGUUUAUGAGUUUUAUUAUGGAGUAAACAUUGAGUAGAUAUGCAAUUAAGAACCAAUUUGACAAGGAGUAACGACGAAACGGAUAUAUGUGAUGGCAGCUCAAUGAUCAUUGAUCAACUUAUUUUUGGAUUUCUCAAAUUAGAAUUUGUCCUUAUAUUUUUUUGAUCGAGUGAGUAGAAUAAAACAGAACCUAAAGUUUACUGGCUCCUCUCUGUAUUUUCCCACCUGAGCUCACAAUCACAAACAAUGUGAUUCUAAGGCGAUCGGAUUCGGCGAUUGGAACUUCGACGAGCUCGCAAACGCUUUGAACUCCUGACCAUGGUGGGAGGAGACUGAGAAGUCUAGAAAUAACAGAGAGAACGAAGAAAGGGGAGGAGGCCGUGAGAUAAAUGCAAAAUGACCAAAUGCUUCCGGUGAAUUUUCCUGCCAAAACCGACCCUUUCUGUCUGGCGUUGGUUAACGAGCUACGUGGACAAGUUAGGUCCCGAUGGGACUUACUACUUUUGUUUCACAAAACACAUGUAGAUUUGUUCAUUCGGAUAAAAUCAGCUCUCAUUUCUAAUGUCUCACUAUUUAUAUUGAUUAUUACUAAAUGAAUGUAAACUAUUAUUGGCCGGUUGCGGGAGCCAAGAGAAAAAACGAGCUAUAUUAUUGAACAAAUCAGGAAAAUCUGUGUGAUUUGUUUUGUGAAAUGGAGGGAGUAUGAUGAAACACUUGAUACACACGGUUAGAACUAAAAUGUGCAUUUUUAUACUUUCAGGACUCGGUUGAUACAUUUCACAUGGUUUUACGAGCUUUGAUGCAAUUAACUCGGACAAAAAUGUACCAGUAGAAACUCCAAAUAUUGAGUUCUCUUAAUAUAUUUCAUCAUUUUUUUAACUAGUACCGUGGCCCUCUCAAAUAGGAGGGCAAUAUAUUUAGUGUGUACAUAGAAUUAAAUGUUCCAACUCAGAUGAAAAGGUCACAAUGAUAAACACAUAAACUUUACGAUCUUUCAUCAUGUCCUUACUUCCCUAAUACCAAAAUACAUCAUGUUUUAGACACGGGCAGCACCUAAAAGACAAAAUUUUGGCGUUCUGCUUUGUAUGAACAUGCUACUAAUUUUUUGAAAAGAUGUAUAAUUAUACAAUAUUUUCAUGAUUAAUCUCAUGGCCUUAAUUUGGUCUCUCACAAUAAUGUGUUUAUACAUCGAUAGUUAAAGUUAGAGAAAUAUGAAAAAAAAAAGCUUUUGAGGACAACAAUCUAUCUUUGAACGGAGGUGUUGUUGUUGUUGUUGUUGUUGAUCUAUAAGUGCUAUCUGAUCCACUCCUCAAUUCAGCUAUUGUACAUUCUCGUUCCCUUAUAUAUGUCGUGUCAUGUAACGUCAUUAUAUCUCCUUAGUCUUGGCUUGAAUGCAUGGCAUAGUCCUGACAAUUAAUAAUCUCAUUCAAAAAAUAGUUAUCCAUUUUACUUCACCUUUACCAUUCCCAGGACGAACCAAAUUUGUGGUGUGGCAAAAUCAGUAGCACGGCGACAAUGUACAACACAACAUUUCAUUCAUUGGGUAAUACGGGUGCGAACAUAUUAAGAUAAAGGUAAGUUACCGAAAAAUACCUCAUUAAGCGAAGCUCAAACAAAAACUCACCAUUAAUCUAAUAAAUCUAAGUAGGGGAAACCACUACUUAUUUCUCUCAUCAUGCAAGCAUGCCACAUCAUCACACAAUUAAUUAAUUUGUUCACACAUCUAUUUUUUGCACAUGCGUUACUUUCCAUCAAGCUAUUUCCAUUAAGUGAAGCAUGUAUAAUCUAUCAUACAAUUACAUUAUAUGUUUUCAAUGCAUACUCUUUUGUUGCUACUUUUUACUCAUGUAUGUUAACUAAGAAUUUCAUUCAACAACGUGGGCUCACGUAUGUUAACUAAAAGUUUUCGCGACAACGUGCGGGGAAUCAUCUAGUUUAUCUAAUGUAUCGGUAUAAAGACUAACAGCAACGUCAUACAUAGUAAUAGUACAUAGUUACAUACAGUAACAAACACUGAUAUACAUACCUCUAAAAUUUGCCGUGGCCUUGCAGCCCUUCGUCUUCUUUGAAGGUGUCGGGCGGAUGACCCCGGAUAGGGUCUUGGCGACACACAUUAGCCGAGAUGACGAAGGCAAAUCCGGCACAGGCAUGUACGUCGGCAUCCUUAAGACAAACUAAUGCUAAGCCGGCAUACCAAGUGUAUGCCGGCAUGACUAUCUUGUCUUAUGAGAUGGCAGGAUAAGGACGGAUACACUGAUCUCGGCCAGCGCCGAGAUGUCUUAACGGUCUUAUCCUCAUCGCGUGGCGCAAAGUAAAGCAACGCUAUCUUUAUCACGGAAAAGCAGUCGCUGCUUACGUUGUGAUGGCAGACGACCGCGCAAAGAAGCACCGAAAGAGAAUCAGUGACGGAAGCCGGCAGGCGGCUGGUGUACUUGUUGCAGAGCGUCAGGAAAAAUACAGUUGUCUUGUCCCCUGAGGUGCCACCCGGAGGGAACCAAGGCGCGUGCCCGGCGGGACUCAUAGAAGAUAACGUUAGCCCUUGACCCACAUGUCAGUGUGACAUGGGCGGUCCAUAAAUAGAGCACUACCCCUCCCAGGAGAGGGAUCCAACACUUAGGCAUCUAGGGUUUACCCCUUCUUCUUCUUAUUCUUCUUCUUCUUCUUCUUCUUCUUCUUCUUCUUCUUCUUCUUCUUCUUCUUCUUUCCUCAAGAACACUGCUCAAGGAGCGCCAUUGUAGAUCUUGUUAUCUCGGCUUAUUAAAAAAAGCAGGAGUAUGAGUCUUACCUCUACAAGAGGGCUCCGAAUCUGGGUAAAUCUGUGUGUGCUAGUGUGCUUGUGCGUGUUUCUCUUCACGUCCUCCCUCCUCCGGUUCCUCUUUCGUCCAUCGGCCCCAACUUAAGCCAUCCUAUGGCAUCUGCCGUGACACCACCACGACAGUUGGCGCCCACUGUGGGGCCAGCAGCGGCGCUGGCUGGAGUUUUCAUCCGGACGGAAGCUUCCUCGUCACCGGGGAGCGCGUGGUCUCCGGUUUGGUCUAGAGAUUUGGCUCUCUGGGCUUCAUCGACAACAACGCCGGCUGCUUCAACAACGCGCCGCUUCCUUGCGCAGGCCGCUUCAUCAACUUCGGCAUGCAUGAGGUUUAUGUCGCCACUGACAGUCCUUGCAGGUACCCCGAGCAGGUAGUGGUGGCCGAAGAUCCCCCCACCGUCUGCACGGUUCGCGGCCGGCAUGUCGACUGCCCCGCUGACCGUGUGGAGGUCAUGGUGACGGCUCACGGCGUCGAUGCUGGCAAGGGCACCGCAGAGAGCGGCACGGUCCCGAGCAAGUCCGGCAGAACGGCGAAGUUCCCUUUGGAGAAGCCGGAUAAUGUCGCUGCUCAAGCCGGCACGUCGGCUCUACCGCCAAAGUCGACUCAGCUCCAGGCCUCCAACGAACGGCUGACCGUGCCGGUGGCGUCAAACUCUAACCCGGCCCAGCUGCAGGCUGAGUUGGAGUUGGAGCGCCAGAAAUUGCUGAAGGAAGCUGUUGACGUGGCUCGCGCUCGGCAAGAACUUGAUAUUUCGCUCCGUAUAACAAAGCUCAUGGUUUCAAUUCUAUCGCAUUGACUAACCCUAGCCGAGUUGGGGAAGUGCGUAACCGAGGCAGGAACUUGAACGCCGAGAUAGCUAGAGAUUGCAGAGGGGUGCCUGCGGUGUCGGCAAGUUUUGCCUCGGCAUUGAAGCCGAGAUACAACACCCCUGUCAAGAAUCUCAGGGCCACCGAGGCUGCGGCCGAGGAGUUGCCGAAUCCCACGGGAGAGGCACUCCGGCUGUAGCAAUUGCGCGUGAAGGAGUUACUCCGCACGGCUAACGAGCAGAAUGAGGCAUACAUGAGAUUGCACGGCAAGCCCAGUGCGUCUCAGGUCAUUCACUCGGUAGCGGGCGCUGAUGGCCGGGCUGACAAGCAAGCGUCCUCGCCUGAUGGCAAACGGGACAAGAGUGUCAACUCAGGCCGAGAUAAGCGCCUAGAGCAUUAUGACCCGGUUCUGGCCGAGAAGCAAAUGGUCAAGAGAGUUGAAGACAGCCAGAGUGGUAUGCGUCUCGGCAACAAUCGCCGAGAUCAGCAAGAGCGUCACUCGGCUGGUCUUGGACACCGACCUCGGGGUCCGGCACCCAAUACUGUUGUAGGUCAGCAGGGUGUCGGGCGCAACCCCCUGUAUCGAGGUGAAGAUCGCCGGCAAGACCGUUACGAUGACGGGUACUCGGCCAUGGGUGAUGAGGGCUCUCUCAGGCAAGAACGCCAUAAUCUCGGCCCGCUCGGAGCCCGAAUUGGGAACAAACAAGUGUCGCCGCUGGAUGCCCAACAUCGGCUCGACAGAAUAUAUCUGUCAGAGGUUUUGGAAGAACUAGGCCCUUCGGGACAGCGUUGUUUCGCACACCGGAUCAUGAGGGAGACACCAGCCCAGGGUUUCCAGCUGCCCAGGGGUACGAGAACAUAUGACGGCAGUACUAAGCCGGAAGAUUGGCUGGAAGACUAUGUCACGGCGGUGCAUGUGGCAGGCGGCAAUCGCCGAUGGGCAGUACAUUAUGUACCCCAGAUGCUGGUAGGGCCGGCAAGGAUAUGGCUGAACAAUUUGCCGGAAGGCAGCAUCAAUUGCUGGAUAGACUUUGAGGAAGUUUUUGUCAGCAAUUUCACUAGCACUUACAAGAGGCCAAACCGCUCUCAGCGGUUCUUCAUGUGCAUGUGCAAACAAAGAGACAAUGAGACUGACCGGAAUUACCUGACAAGAUGGAACAACCUCCGCAAUUCCUGUGAAGGGAUAGUGGAAUCGCAAGCCAUAGCGUGGUUUGCCCAAUGAUGCCGACAUGGCAGCAUGUUAUGGCAAAAGCUGCAAAGAGAAAUGCCGGCCACUCUGUCUGAGAUGAUCAAGAUUGCCGACAUGUAUGCUCUCGGUGAUCCGACUCAGCCAUCAUUGAUGCCGUCAGAGCCGCAAAGGGAGCAGCCGAUAUACAACCCUGCUAGAGCAUUCCAGAGGAACGAUUAUCAAGAUCACCGCAACAAGAGAAGGGACGACAGGUCGGAUUACCGGUAUGGGCCAGCCCAUGUCGCCGCUAUUCAGGAUCAACCUGAUGCCGGCUCUAGCCAGUGUUGAAAGACUGAAAAUCAGCAGUGGGUCAAGAAAGGAGAGCAAAAGAAGCCCUGGCAAGAUAACCAGAAGUAUAUGUUCGAGGUGAUGCUGGAUCAGCCUUGUCGUUUUCACACGACUAAUCCCAGCAAACCGACAAAUCACACAACCCGGCAAUGCAACUGGAUGCAGCGGGCCGAGAAGGGUGAGGCAAGUCGGCUGCCCCCUCCUCCACCGCUCACAGGCGUUAACGCCCAGAUCCAAGGACCCCCUCCGACAAACAAUGCUGUCAAUCAGGUGGAAGACCAAGGUAUCCCGCAAUAUGCCGGAAGAAAUAAAUACAAGGAGCAUCACGAGAGCUACAUGAUUUUCAUCACGGAGCCGACUGACAAGCAGAGUCAGCGUAGGCGAGAGAUGGAAGUCAAUGCUGUGAUGCCGGCGGUUCCAAAGUUUAUGUACUGGUCGGAAUAGGAGCUCAACUGGAACCGAGCGGAUCAUCCCAAGGUUAUGCCAAAUCCUGGUAGAUAUGCUCUGGUGGUUGACCCGACACUCAUUGGGCCCGGCAUUAACGUCAAGUUCACUCGGGUUCUCAUUGAUAUUGGAAGAAGCAUAAACAUCAUGUACCGGGACACGAUGCUCAAAUUUUGGCAUUACUCAUAACAUGCUUGAGCCUAGCCGGACUACCUUUCGUGAUAUCGUGCCGGGAGUGUCUUGUGCCCCGGUAGGCAAGAUCCGAGUCGAUGUCUUAUUUGGCACCAGGGAGAAUUGUCGGACCGAGAACCUGGUGUUCGAAGUGGUGGACCUUAGCAGUCCGUACCAUGCGCUACUUGGCAGACCGGCAUUGGCCAAAUUCAUGGCGACUACCCACAUAGGCUAUCUGAAGAUGAAGAUGCCGGGGCCAAAUGGUACCAUAACCAUUACUGGCAACUACAAGCGUUCAAUGGAGUGCGCGGCGGCAGGGUCUGCCUUGGCCGAGUCACUGGUCAUCGCUGGUGAGAAGAAGAAGUUACAAGAAGCUGUUGCGAUGGCUCAAGCGGUACAGAUUGGCCUGCGGGCUAUGACCAAUCCCCAUGGGAGUGUGGCGUUUCAGGCAGCCAGGAGACGAAGAAGAUACAGGUCGACAGUGAAUUCCCGAACCGCACCGUCAUCAUUGGUGCCGGCCUGGGUGAAAAUAGGAAGGCGAGCUCACCAGCUUCCUCUGUGAGCAUCGGGACAUCUUCGCAUGGUCUAAUCAGGACCUGCCGGGUGUGCCGAGGGAGCUGGUUGAGCACUCAUUACAUGUCAGACCAGACGCUAGACCGGUGAAGCAGCCCUUUCGACGCUUCGCCGACGACAGAAGGAAAAUCAUAUCGGACAGAAGGAAAAUCAUAUCGGAAGAGAUAUCCCGGUUUCUAGUUGCGGGCUUUAUCAUGGAAGUAUUGCAUCCCGACUGACUGGCGAAUCCGGUCAUGGUCAAGAACAAGAAAAACGACCCAACUGCUGCCAAGGUGUGGCGCAUGUGUAUCGACUACACAGCCUGAACAAGGCAUGUCCAAAGGAUCCUUUUCCGUUACCUCGGAUCAAUCAAGUAAUCGACUCCACUGCCGGUUGUGAAUUGCUGUAUUUUGUAGACGUGUACUAUGGUUUUCACCAGAUACCGCUGAACCCUAAUGAUCAAAUAAAGACAUCAUUUAUCACCCCGUUCGGGGCUUAUUGCUAUCGCACUAUGCCGUUUGGUUUGAGAAAUGCAGGAGCUACUUAUCAAAGAUGCAUGCAGAAAUGCUUGCACGAUCAACUCGGCAAAAAUGUGCAGGUAUAUGUCGAUGAUGUCGUCAUAAAAACCAAAGAAAGCGCCACGUUGCUGGAUGAUAUCCGGAAAACAUUCGCAAAUCUGAGAAGAUUCCGAAUGAAGCUAAACCCGGCUAAAUGCACAUUCAGUGUGCCGGUAGGGAAGCUGCUCGGGUUCCUGGUAUUGAGCCGAGGUAUAGAAACGAACCAUGUGAAAAUCGCCGCCAUAGAGAGAAUGAAACUGCCGAAAUGUCUCAAAGAUGUGCAGAAAUUCACUGGAUGCCUAGCAUCGCUAAGUCGUUUCAUUAGUCGGCUGGGUGAAAAGGCAAUGCCCUUAUACCAGCUGAUCAAGAAAACCGACAAAUUUGUGUGGACGCAACACGCAGAAGUAGCCUUUCAAGAACUAAAGAAGAUGAUUGCUACAACGCCAAUAUUAGCCUCACCAAUGGAGAAAGAGCCGAUGUUAUUGUACAUAGCAGUAACAAAUCGAGUCGUUAGUGCCGUCAUAGUGGAGGAAAGAGAUGGAGAUGGCAAAUCAGUGCAAAGGCCCGUAUAUUAUUUGAGCGAGGUGUUAUCGUCGUCUAAGCAGAAUUAUCCUCAUUACCAGAAGAUGGCAUACGACGUUUAUAUGGCGGCAAAGAAACUGAAGCAUUAUUUUGAUCUGCAUCAGAUUCGGGUUAUAUGUGAGGCACCCAUGUCAGAAAUCAUGAGCAAUAAAGACGCAAGCGGCCGGAUCGCAAAAUGGGCUAUCGAGUUAGCACCCUACACGCUGCAGUAUGACAGACGGGAUGCCAUAAAAUCUCAGGCUCUCGCGGAUUUCCUGGUACACUGGGCCGAGAUAGAAUAUGAGCCACCACCGCCUGAAACUGGCUAUUGGAAGAUGCAUUUUGACGUCUCCAAAAUGAGAAGUGGGCUUGGUGCUGGCAUAGUAUUAACUUCGCCUAAGCGCGACCAACUUAAAUAUGUGCUGAAAAUUCAUUUUGCGGCAUCCAACAAUGUCGCCAAGUAUGAGGCACUCGUGCACGGACUAAAGAUGGCAAAAGAAAUUGGAGUUUGUCGGAUUCAAUGCUUUGGCGACUCGGACUUGGUAGUUCAGCAAGCUUCCGGCAAUUGGGAUGCAUUGGAUGCCAAUAUGACACUAUACCGCUUUCAUGUUCAGAAGAUCAGUGGUCAUUUCGAAGGGUGUGACUUCCAUCAUAUACCGCGGGCGGAAAAUGAGGCAGCCGACACGCUGUCGAAGCUCGGCUCAACGCGACAAGCUAUCCCGGCUGGUGUGGCAUUGGAGCAUUUACGCAAACCAUCCAUCAAGCCAUCACUAGAAUCGGAGUCAAUCUUUAUCCCGCCGAUCUCAGAAGCUGACAUCACCCCAAUGGACAUUGACAGUGGUAGCGGUUCCGGUAACUCAGUGACUGAGCGCCCUAACUCGGCGGAAGCAAUGGCGGUUGAGCCAAUGGAGAUAGACGAACCAGACGAGCCGAUCUUUGCUACUCGUCCCGUGCUGGCCUGGGCACAACCGAUAAUGUCUUAUCUCAAAGAUGGGAGUCUCCCGGAAUAGUAAGUGUCGGCAAGGCAAAUUUAGAGAAGGGCAAAGGCAUACACUAUACAAGAGAAGUGUUACUAACGUCUUGCAGCGAUGUGUCGAGCCGGCAGAAGGGCAAGAGAUACUCCGAGAUAUUCAUCAGGGAGAGUGCGGUCACCAUGCGUCUUCAAGAACAUUGGUUGGCAAGGCAUUCCGGCACGGUUUCUACUGGCCGAGUGCGAUGCAAGAAGCAGAAGACAUGGUCCGGAAAUGCAAUGGUUGCCAGAGAUAUGCCAGCAAGAUUCACAUGCGGCAUCUGAGCUCAAGACUAUUCCAAUCACUUGGCCAUUUGCUGUUUGUGUUUGGAUAUGGUGGGACCUUUCAAGCGGGCGCGAGGAGGCAUGACACAUUUCUUGGUCAUGGUUGACAAGUUUACUAAAUGGAUUGAAGUGAAGCCGAUACAAAAGUGUGACGGCAAGACUGCGGUAUCAUUCUUAAAGGACAUCAUCUUGAGGUAUGGUUACCCGCACAGUGUCAUCACGGAUAAUGGAACGAACUUUGCGGAAGGACCUUUUGCGUGAUUUCGCGCGGAAAAGAAAAUCCGGCUGGACAUCGCCUCCGUGGCACAUUCUCAAUCCAACGGACAAGUUGAGAGAGCAAACGGCAUGGUUCUAGCCGGCAUAAAACCUAGGUUGAUUGAGCCACUGGAACACACUCUAGGAUGUUGGUUAGAUGAACUCCCAGCUGUGCUAUGGAGUCUUAGGACAACCCCAAAUCGCUCUACAGGCUACACGCCAUUUUUCCAUGUAUACGAGGCGGAAGCUGUCUUACCAGCCCACAUUGAACAUGACUCUCCACGAGUGACCAUUUAUACGGAGGUGAGGUAAAAGAGGCCCGAGAAAAUGAUGUCGACCUGCUCAAAGAAGCAUGGGAAUUGGCUCUAUCUCGGUCAGCCAUCUAUCAACAACACCUAAGGCAUUAUCACAGCCGGAGGGUAAACCCGCGAGUAUUCCGGGAAGGAGACCUCGUGCUCCGACUUGUGCAGCGCACAGCCGGCAUGCUUAAACUAUCACCCCCAUGGGAAGGAUCCUUCAUUGUGAGCAAAGCGCUACACAACAAUUCCUACUAUCUUAUAUAUGCGCAGGAUCCCAAAGCAAACAGGAUGGACAGGUCUGGCGAGGAGACCAAGAGGCCAUGGAAUGUAGCUUUACUUCGUCUGUUUUAUAUUUGAAAGAUGAGUAUUUGUAUCGCUUUUUCCUUUAUGUUGAAUGUUUUGAAAAAAUGAAAUUAUCUGCCGGGUUCUUAAAAAGGACUCGCAGACUCCCAUGCUAUUUAAGUGUUGUAUUGCAUUUACCGUUUUGUAUGUCGGCAUGUCUUAGUUGUGCAAUCUUAUGUCGGUUGAGUAGUCUGUCGGUAUUCAAAAUCCCCUCUAUGACUUCGUUGUUGUGCGCAACGCAGCUUCAUGGCAAGCUAGAGAUUGGGUACGAGAUAACUGAACACAUGAAAAACGAUUGCGGAAACAAACAAAAAAGCGAGCCGAGAUGCGCGUCGUUUUACUUAACUCGGCAUUUCAUUCUUGUCUCGGGUAUUUCCAAGCGAAUUUGUCGAGUUUAAGUUUUUUGAAAGGAUUGUUCUAUGAAUUCGUGAUUCAUACGUCGAACGCCGACAAGGCAGACAAAAGAACCGAAGUCCUAAAAUCACCAACAGAAAAAAUAGACACGGGGACUCGGUUGGGAGAUCGGUAAUUAAAAGACUGAAAUAAAUUAAAAGUAGCUUCAUAGAACAAAAGUGUUUUAACCCGGUUACAUCUGCACCCGGCAUCCCGGGGAUCUGAUAAAUUUAGAGCAUUUUUCCGGCUUGACUAAGAAGAAACAGAAGGAUUGGCGGCGCCGGAACUCGGAGCAUCCGUUGCAGUAGAAGCCGACUCGACGACAAUCUCUUCGUCGACUUCUUCUUCGUCGUCUUCCUCGACCAUCUCCGCAUCUGCUUCUGACACCGGGCCCUCCACAAAUUUAUGCACAUCGGCAUAUUGGAUAAAGGAGUAGGCCCGCUGCUGCCGCUUCGUGAUGAGUUCCGGGUCUGAGAGGAAAGGGGAGCCGACUUGCAUCGACUGCAGCACGUCGAGGUUGAUGCCGUCGUACCAAGAGAGUACAAACGACAAAGCCUCGUCGGCACCGACACAAGCGGCCGAUUCCCGCCACUCGUUCAGCCGGUCCUCCACCUCCAGAAGGCGCUUCGCCAAUUCCGGGAUGCCGGUCGGAGUUUCUUCUCCCGGCCACAACGCUCGGAAGGCCCGGAUGCCGGCGUUGAGCAUGUUUACCCCGAACGACUUCAGAUGCUUAACCCGGCUUGCAAUGCUGACCAAGUAAUCCUCCAAGUCAUAUUCGAAGGGUACUGCCCCAGCUGGAUCCCUCCUUCUACGGGCCUUGAUCACGGCAGCUUGGGCAGUCUCAACAGAAUGUGGGAAAAAUUCUGACAAAGGCAAAAAGAUCGUAAUGAGUCUCGACACUCCAUUGCUGCUUUCGGACAAAUGAUCAGAGGAAGAGACUUGGUCAAGGGCAACUUACUAGUCAGCAUUGCGUCGAUUUUGAUGAGGUCACGCCGGGACACGCUAAGUAGGCGGGCGUUCUCGGCCUUCUCCUUCUCGACAGCAGUGGCGCGAGUCUCGACCUUGGCGACAAGAUCCUUGCAUUUCUGCACUUCGCCUUCUAGGCAGAUCUUCUCGUCAGCUUGGGCGGAGAGAGGCGAGGUAAGUUGACCUACCUCGGUGUUAUGCGCCUCCGCCUGAGCUUCGAGCUGCGCUUUCUGCCGGGCCACUUCGUCCCGGUGCUGCUCUUCUAGCCGAGUUUUCUCAUCUGUUUAGCAGACGUGUGUUAUAGAAGUUUGAGUUUAAGAUGGAUGAAACCUGAGAUAAGGACAAGCCUAUACCUUGUACUUCGGCGACACGCUUCAAGAGCUCAGAUACUUGAACAUUGUCCCCGGCUGUAAACAAGAGCACGUAUCAGUUUUUGCAGUGCAUUAAUACUCGGACAAAUUCUUUAUGUAGGUAAAAAUGUACUUACUCUGGCUCUGGCGCUCGGCUACCAAGGCCUUGUGCUCUGCCGCCAGCUUCUUGUGCUUCGCCAGCAGGACCUUAAAGGUAGCGGUGCGCUUGUUCAUGCAGGUCUGCAAGACAAUAAUCAACAGUUAAUUCUAUUGCAGGGGGAAUAAGUGUUUGAAGUUUCUAAGCUUCAGGCCGACUAUUCUAAAUCCGACCUGAAUCUCGGGGAAUAAGUGUUUGAAGUUUUUAAGCUUCAGGCCGACUAUUCUAAACCCGGCCUGAAUCUCGGGGAAUAAGUGUUUGAAGUUUUUAAGCUAUAGAAGAAGGUCUUGAGCCACUUUUUGCUGGACUCAAGACCUUGGAUCCGAGGAAAGGCUGAGCCUCGGCGGGGUAUCACGGUGGCGGCGCCGCACUGGGUCAUGGGUUUGGCGGCGCCGGGAUUCUCUUUGUCGAGGAGAACUUGGGGCCGGAACAUAAAGUAUUUGGCCCACAAGUCGACGGGAGGCCAGAGGCCGUGAUAGGCCUCACAGCAAGUGACAAACGCCGAGAGUGUGAGGAUAGCGUUUGCCGGAAGAUGGUGCGGCAGAAGGCCAAAGAAGUCUAAGAAUUUCCUAGUGAAAUCACUAGCUAGCAGAGCGAACCCUCGUUCAAAAUGAGCAAGGAAGACGACAUGCUCACCAGAUUCGGGUGCCGACACAGUCUCGUAACCGGGGGUCCGACACUCUACAUCUUCUAGAAUCCGCCGGGAGCGGCGGAGCCACUCGAUGUCUGCCGGGGAGACGUCGGAGCCUUCCUAGCCAGCUUGCUCCGAGCCCGUCUCCUCCUCGGUGUGCUGAGCAGCGAGGUCAACGGUGGCGGCAUCACGGGAAGAAGAAGCCAUUGUUGGAAACUAGAUCUAGGCUUAGCUUCUCCGGCGAAGAGGUGGUGGUGCAAGGCUCAAGCGAGCAAGGAAACGGCGGCAGAGAGUCAAGCGAGGGCGCACGAGGAUAUGGCGACGAGCUCGGUUGCUGGGAGCAAGGAAGCGCACCGGCGGAAGAUCUCGGAGCUAUCGGCAAUGGUGGAGCACGCAAGAAGCAGAGAAGAGCAGAGGAGAGCGAGAAGGUUGGGGGAGUGCGAAGGGUUUUUCUCCCUCGCCCCCUCCCUCUUUUUGUACCCGCAACGCACUAAAGGGGGCGCGGAUCUUUUGCGCCCACGAUGCCUGUGGCCAACGGAUGGGCCGCGCACGAUCAUGGGGGCAAUCAACCCCAUUAACGCGCAAGCGCUCGGUUACCACGCGGCGUGGCUCAGUUAAUCCCGUCGAAUCCGGGAGGAUAAGGAUCCGCGUGGGAACCAAAAUUCCUCUCUUAAUGGCCUAUCAGUUUUACUGUCCGAUGGGACGACGUGCUCGCCUCAAUGGGCGCGCCGGCAGUACUUCGGGUUUUAUCUUUCCGUUAUUUAUGCAGAGUGCAGAGUACAAGCGACAGGUGGCACUAAUGUCGGCAGAAACGAGUUUUUUGUUGUCGGCCAUGUAGGGGAAAAGAAUCUCGACUCAAUGCUGAAUAAGCACGCCAGCUCGGUAUGUCGGAAUAACUUGAUCUCGGCUAAGAGGAACUCGGGGUUGUCUCGGCAUCCUUUUUGGCUAAGCCCUGGUGAGCUUCGGUGGUUCCUGUGUGGGAAGUUGUCGUGGCCCGACAUUCUUCCCUGCCGGACCGCAACAGUUUCGGGGACUAUUAUCGGGGGGAUGACCCCGGAUAAGGUCUUGGCGACACACAUUAGCCGAGAUGACUAUGUUGUCUUAUGAGAUUGCAGGAUAAGGACGGAUACUCUGAUCUCGGUCAGCGCCGAGAUGUCUCAACGGUCUUAUCCUCAUCGCGUGGCGCAAAGUAAAGCAAUGCUAUCUUUAUCGCGGAAAAGCAGUCGCUGCUUACGUUGCGGUGCCAGGCGACUGCGCAAAGAAGCACCGAAAGAGAAUCAGUGAAGGAAGCUGGCAGGCGGCUCCUGUACUUGUUGCAGGGUGCCAGGAAAAGUAAAGUUGUCUUGUCCACAACGGUGCCACCUAGAGGGAACCAAGGCGCGUGCCCGGUGGGGCACAUAGAAGAUAACGUUAGCCCUUGACCCACAUAUCAGUAUGACAUGGGCGAUCCAUAAAUAGAACACUACCCCUUCCAGGAGAGGGAUCCAACACUUAGGCAUCUAGGGUUUACUGCUUCUUCUUCUUCUUCUUCUUCUUCUUCUUCUUCAAGAAUACUGCUCAAGGAGCGCCAUUGUAGAUCUUGUUAUCUCGGCUUAUUAAAAAAAACAAGAGUAGGAGUUUUACAUCUACAAGAGGGCUCCGAAUCUGAGUAAAUCUAUGUGUGCUAGUGUGCUUGUGCGUGUUUUUUUCACGUCCUUUCUCCUCCGGUUCCUCUUUUGUCCAUCGGCCCCAACUUAAACUAUCUUAUGGCAUCUGCUGUGACAUCUAAAAUUUCUGAUAUCUGAUAGCGUCCUAGCAGAGUAACAAUCUGCUAAUCUGCUUUGCUGCCGCCGCAGGCGGGCCUGCGCGCGGUUCACCGUCCUCGACGGGCGGUUGUGUUCCAAUUGCAACUCUGGUUGCCACGGUUGACCGUGCCCACCGUGGAUUAGGAUCUUGGGUUCUGCUUUUGCGACUCUACUCUAUGCUAGCGCCGAUCAGAAUUCAGAAGGAUGCAGACGCACACACAAGACGAUGUAACGAUCUCUGAUUAAAUCGAUCGAUCGGACCAAACCUUCACGUACGCUAACACCCAGACCUCUGCUAAUUGAUUGCGAGCUAGCAGUUGUUCCUAGGGUAGUACUGAACUACUGCAUGUACCAGCUGCGGCACGGCGCCGCGGCGCCAUCGUCACCAGACUCACCGUCAUGCGCGCGCACUCGCCUCUCCUAAUCGGCGUGUCCCAAUUUCUGUGUUGACCUUCGUCACGAUGAUCAUGGCUGUGAUCACGUUGUUAUUUCUACUUUCCUUCGCUAACAUGGAAAUUUAUAGUUUCUACUUUCCUUGGUUAACAUGGAAAUUUCUAGGGAAAAAGAUCUAACGGUUGUGAUCUAGAUGGGACGUUUGAUGUCCUGAUUUAUUUAGAUGCGAUUAUAAAGAUGCAACGGUUGUGAUCUCUCUAUAGAAAAAGGUCCACCCAAUUAAUGUUUUGCUUUUUUGCGAGAUUUUUGAGCCUCUCUAUUUUUUCCGUGGUUGUUCUGUCAUGUACUUUUAGUAUAUAAGACAUUAAUAAGACGCCGUGCAAACGAACCAGUAGCAUCAUCAUGCAUGCAUACAUGUACUAGGCAAAAGUCCAUUGUUUUAAAUGCUUUAACUCUUAAACUGUCAAGUUAAUUUAAGAUAUGUCUUCUCGAUUAAUUUUGUCUCGACGAGAUCUUCGAAACUAGAUCUCAUGUUGACAUGUUUAGACAAAUUUAAUUUUUGUUUUAAAAGUUUCCAUCCAAUAAUCUAUGAAGUUGCCAUCCUGUUAGUAACAAAGUAACACGUUGUAACUUUAUAUAAAAUAUGGUGGCGAUUUGUGUAUCAAAGGUAUUAUCUGAUAAUACGUAAAGUCACCACCCUGUAAUAUAUGAAGUUGCCGCCUUAUUAGUAACAUAAUACCAUGUGUCAACUUUAUAUAAAAUACGGUGACGACUUGUUUAUCAAAGGUACCAUCCGAUAAUACGUAAAGUCACCGCCCAAUAAUAUAUGAAGUUGCCACCUUAUUCAUAAAUAUUACCAUGUGGCAACUUUAUAUAAAAUACGGUGGCGAUUUGUGUAUCAAAAAGGUAUCCGAUAAUAUAUGAAGUUGCCACGUUAUUCGUAACAACUUACCACGUCGUAAUUUCAUACAGUAUAAAAUAGGAUGGCGAUUUGUGCAUCAAAGUUGUCAUCCGAUAAUAAUGUAAAGUUGCCAUCCAAUAAAAUAUGAAAUAUUAAUGUGUUAGUAAUAAAUUAGCACGUGGUAACUUUGUACGAAACAUUUUGACUCUUAAAAUAACUAGUAUGUAUAUAAUAUGCACUCACACGCUAGUUGCCAACAUAAAAUAAAAAUUACAUGCAAAGAGACAAAAGAGACAGUGCAUGCAAGCUGCAGGCUGUUCGCGCAGGCAGCUGAAUACAAUUCCUGAGUAGCAAAGGGGAAAAAAAAUCAUGCGUGCAAGCCACGCAAGUGCAACAGCAGCAGCAGUCAGCAUUGGCAGUAGCCCACUAGCGCUCGAUCGAGCGCGUCGCCCAGCCAGACAAGAGCGCGGACGUACGCGCGACAUAUUUUCCGUUUAGGUUUUUAGACAUCAAUCUGAUUAUAUGAAUUCACGUGAUUUAGUUUUCCAACAAUUUAAUUUUGUCUCUACUAAUUAUAUAUAAAGUCACCAACAUAUUCUUUUCAACGUCCACCUCACUAAACGUACACAGAUUAUUUAUAGUCCACAAUCAGACUUACUGAACACAGAUUACUUUUUAACCGUGUGCGUUUAGUAAUUACUCCCGGAGGCUGAAUUCCACAAAGCAUGAGAUAAGGUUGCACCGUCUGCUCUCUCGCAAGGAACACACCGGAUCCUCGCGCACCCCCGCUGCUUAUCAAGCCGGACUCCUUGCGCCCGCUCAAAUCUUCUCGCUGCUGCCGCCGAACUCCUACUCCUCCUGCCCCGUCGCCUCGCGGGCCUCGCACCGUCCUAUCCCUUGCCCCGUCGCCGCCCGUCCCCAUGCCCUUGUCGCGCUCCCCUGCCCGCCUGCCCUAUCCAUCAGUCAGCCUGGCAGGAGAAAAUCAGGCUCGUCCUCCGUCAAUGGCCAGUGCGCCUGGCCGCCGUUUCCGGCCAACUCCGCCGCCCCGCAUGCUCCACCCCAGGCAACGCCGCUGCUCGCCGUCAUUGCCGCCCCGCCCCAGGCGCCCUGUCCCGCCGUCGUGCGCCACGGCGACCAGGCCGCGGUCGUAGCACUCCCGCACCCCGCCCCACGCGCCCUGUCCCGCCGUCGAGCGCCCCGGUGCCCCGGCCGCGGUAGCCCUUCUGCGACCUCCGUCCCCCGGGCGCCACGCCGCUGCCCCACCGCUGCUCAUCACGACAUCACACCGAGGCCGCGUUAGAGGUUAGUGCUUCAAUCUCAUAUGAUUUGUUCCAUUGCGUUGUAUCCGUGUAGGUCUUUUCCAGCCCGAGGAGUAUAUUUAUUUGUAUUUUUUGUGAGAUAUUUGUAUUUUAUGAUGCAGAAAAUUAAGCAUGAGUUGAUACAUAUGCCCUACGAGUUAUGGGCUUAGGUUUUGUGUCAGUACCCCAAAAUAAACUAUGCGGAUCUUAAAGGCAAAAGUUAUAAGUGAUUAUGGAGAAUUCUGUACUAUAGACGGGAGCUAUAAGUCCCUAUCUGUUUACUACAAAUGAAUUGUGGUCUGUAUUUUAAAUACAUAGAUGAACCAAUGUCUGUAAAAAGCUUCUAGAUAUUCUUAAAUAAGGAGUAGAAACUUAUGACUCAAUGUACAUCCUCCACAUUCUUACAUUGGCAUACAUUGUUUGGUACUGUGCAUUCUUUCUCAGUUGUUCAGUUAGCUUGAACUACAUAAAUCCUUGGCUCUGUGCUGCUGCUGCUACUGUUAACAUGCACCGGAGAUGAUGAAAAUAUGGGAAGACAAUCCAAAAUACCUAUUGUCUCUUCGAAGGAAAAGAUCAAAGAGAGGGAAAAAAGUGAACGAAUAUAUAUCUUAUUUCCCACAAAUUUUAUGAUCUGAGGUUAAAUCAUAGUAUAGAUGUCCAUCUUAUUACAGACAUAUAUAAGAAAUAAUUAGAAGAGUUUUUUUAUGGCCGUGACCGAGCAUGCAUAUUCUUUUAGCUUAGACAUAUAAAUUAUCGAUGUUGCUGGUCUUUCUCAUGUAUGGGGUUGUAUAUCUGCAAGCAAGGAGAUGGCUGACCAUUUCUGCUGUGUUGCAGGUGCAGUUGUCCGUUCUUGUGAUGGAACUAUCUUUGAUGAUGAUUCAACACCGCUUGUUUGUUGUCAUACUUGGAUGAAUAUCUCUGACAGUUGGAAUUUGUUUUCAUGUUUGGCUUCAGUUAUGCGAAGGACAAGUGUUACUAUUAUACAUGGAUUGACAAGAAUGGCAAAUAAUCAUGGCUACUACUUACAAAGUUACAAACCAUAUUUUGGUGUUGGUCUGGGACCUUUGUUGGUAGCUUUGCACUUCUAAAUGAAACUUGGAUGGAUUUUGUCUGCCAGCCAUAUUAAAACAGUUUGUUGACUGUGCCACCAAUUAUUUAUUAUUGGGCUUAUGAAAUGUCAGUUAAAAUUAUAUUACAAUCGUCAUAAGAGUAUGAUGGAACAAUACAGACUAAAGUUGAGGAUAGCACAUCGUGAAAGAGUUGAUGUUGAACUGGGUUUCAGGUGACAACAGGUGAUUAUUUUGAGCUACAACUCUUUUUUAUUUUCGAGCUAACCGUAAAUAUUGAUGUAUUUUGUAAUGGAAUCUUCAUUGGUGUUACAUGCCUCAACACACAUAAGAGGCCUCUCCAACUAUCUCUUGUUACUCUCCAUAUGUUGCUCCGUAAUAUGGAAAAGAAAAUUGUACAGCUUAAAGCUACUACAAGAAAGACCAUCGAGUUGCAGCUUUCUAACAAAGUAUGUUUCUAACCAACAUGAAAAUAUAUAUCAAUACUAAUACUGUACUAACAUUUAGAUCCAAUGAAUUUAAGGCGAAUGACCAGCUUGGUCAGUGGUUAGUCCACCGUGCGUUGCACGGGCACACUAACUAGUUAGUUUAAUGAAAAACAACAAUACAUCAAGUUACCACCUCUAGCCGGUGGCUGAUGUAGGAUUAAAUGGGGUGCCAAACUAAAUGUUCAUAGUUCAAAUUACAUUUACACGUAUUUUUAACAGAUGUAUGCACUCCCUCCGUAGUAGAAUUAGAUUGAUGACUACAAGGUUAAAAAAUCUCCAAUUUUCCGGGGGUGCCAUGUGCACCUGUAGCUCCAUGCAUUCAAGAUCCCAUCGCUUGUAAUAUUGUGUAAUUUGUAAAGCUUUACUCCCAUGGGUUGGGUUUGAAUCAUAGAAACAUAACUGCAUAAGAUCUACUGGCUAUACUAUAUAUCUUGAUUUCCUACUCGACGAACUAGGUUACUAACAUACAACAAAUCCAAGACUCUGAAAGCAUGUCCUAGUAGACUAGCAGCAGCCCAGUGCUCUUUCCUUACUUCAAUUUCAAUUUUUCGAACUCCCUGUCCCAGUUAAGACCAGACAUUUGCCGUCCAAAGGGUACUAUAAGAUUGUAUCGGAAAACCUGCAAAAGGAGAAUCCCAGCAAAAUGACACCACAAAAUUAGUUAGCCAUUUUGAAGCAUUGACUAUACAUGUGAGACCUGGUAUGGAGCAGUACCUUGUCGUUUAUUUGGCGAAUUUUCUCCUGUAGAGCCCUGCGAUCAUCGUGCCAGGUAGAACCAUUUUGUUCACAGCGGUUUGCCCAAGCCUUCCUCAACACUGACCUCCAUCUCGCAAUCAUUCCACGGAUUUCCUUGUUAAGCUCUACCCAUUCUGGUGCACAACCAUUCUUCGAAAGUAUCCUGUAAAGGGUGUCUUCUGCAGGAUCUGCGUGAGGAUUUGUGGUGAGGUUCUGGGGCCUGCCCUUCCCAGGUAGGUUUUCAAAGUGCCCUUCCUCCAUUGAAUGCCAUAUUCUUUGUUCCACAACGUUCACUAUGUCAGUCUCAGAUCUGCAAAAUAGCAAGGAAGUUCCUAAUUAGGAACAAUCAAGAGUCCACAUGAUCGGUGAGACAGUAAUGCGCAGGCACCAAUGAGAAAAAAACCUAACCAACUGUCCAGUCUGAAGAAUUGCAUAUUGUUAUCAGCAUCGAUUUAUACAGGCCAAGAGAUUUGAAUGCAGUACUCCACCAAUGAUUGUCUAGGCUGUAGUGUGCACACGGAUAAUUAAACUGAGAGAUCGACAGACAAAUUACAGACAUCAGACAACUGGAUGUGUAUAUAGGGCCUUCAACAGCUGAACCAUCCUAAUCACUACACUGGGCUUGGCUCAGAACUUCCUGGGUUCAACAGUCCAAUAAAACGUUCAGAACAAAACCCAUGUUUUAUUACCACCAAGGAAAAAUGAUUACCUUAACUAUUACCAUUGACUAGAGAUUUCUUUCUAAUCAACGUUGAACAUCAUAUAGACGUUGGAGAGGCCUGAGGAUAUACAGCAUCCAAAUAGUGACCCACAAUUUGGUCAUCAUCACCCAGCCACAGAGGCAGCUUUGAGUGACAAUAUGUUAAGGACGGCAAACAUACAUAGCCAUAUUGUCAGAAUCUUAUGAGUAAACCACUAUGCUUUUGAGUAGAACAAAGAGUUCCACCGCAUGUACUCCAAAUCUGGAGGGUUACUGAAUAGGUUCACAGUUUAACAUGCUGACUUCAGAUGCUAAAAAAACUAAACUCAGGAAAACGCCAAGAUAUACCGAGGUAGUUAAGUUUCCAUGAGAGGUUAAUUGUUGUUGUUGACAUACUGAGCAUAAAUACAAAACUAUGAAGAUACCGCACUAUAAUGUAUAUCUGGUUAACCUCCGAUCCUAAAUUCUUGUUGUUUUAGUUCAAAUUUGAACUAAACAAUGACAACUAUUUAGGAUCGGAGGAAUACAAAAUAGAUCAAGUAAGUGACACAAACAUUAUUUUCCAUGUUUGGCAUGGUAGUUCUACUUCUAUUUGUCAGUUGAAACUGCAUUAUAGUUGUUGUUCUUACAAAACGUUAACCGUGUAAACUGUGUGAUAAGUGAACAUGCCUACAUAACCCCAGGAAACAAAUUUAUAUCAUAACUGAUAUAUAGCUAUCUAAUUGCAUAAAACUACCUCAGCGUAUCAUAUUUUUGCAGUACACUUACGUAACCAACAACAAUAAAUUGGCUGCAUUUGACACAAGUAUGCCUUCAUACUAAAUACUAUCACAGACUACAGAUGCAUAAAGGGAGCAUGCACAAUUGAACUACGUUGAUCAGUAUAGUGGGAAAAGUUCAGUUCCCCUUGGCUUCAACAGGUCAAUGAGACGUUCUAGAAACGAUCACAUUAUCACCUAGGGGAUGAAUUUUGAACAUGUCACAUCUUCAUGGAUGAUACCGCCGACAAUUUAACACAGAUAAAAGACCAAAAGUUUAUUACCGCCAGCUAGAGAUUGUUUCGAUGUUACACGCCGUCUGAAGUUGGAUAGGCUCUGAACAAAAGCAGCACCCAACCUAGUUUUGUUUUGCUGGUGAAGCAGCCAACAUCAUGAGCAGACAUUUGACCAUCAUUGCGAAGGCCCUGGAGGCAGCUUUCAGCAAUAGCAUCACAAGGACCAUAAAACCAUAUGCUUUGAGUAGAACAAAUGAGUUUCUCCCCAUGCACCUAGAUCUGGAUGGUAAUUGAACAGUUUUGAAAGAAUAUUCAAACUUGAACAAGCUGGAUUUUAGAAUUUCUUGUGGAUUUAGCUCACACACAAGGCGUUGGAGUUGUUGAAUAGUUUUGAAAGAACAGUUGAACAUGCUGGCUUUACAAUUGCAUAUUGAUUUAGCUCACACGACAAGAUGUUGGAGCUAGUUAAAUUUCCCACGUAGGUGUGGCAAAGCAGUUUUGGUGCAUGGUCUCUGCCUUCUUUAGGCAGCUAGGUCACUGUUUUGAGUCUAUUGCUGAGCUUUGGAUUGCUAAUAAAAAGUUGUCUGUCCUUCACUUGUCUGUGCUACAGUUCUUUGGAGCAUUUGGACAUUUCACAAUAGUAUAAUAUUGAAUAAUCAGUUAUGGUUGUCUGUUAAACAGAUCUGGUGUUUGAUCCUGCAGUCGCUCAGGAAAUGGUCACAACUGUUCAAGGAUUGCAUGCUGGACAGUAUGCACAGCUUCAGCCGAGCAGUUUCCCAGAUUUUGGGGGCACCUUUGGCGCUGGCCUGGAGCCCUGGAGCUGAGGAAGGCAAGUCCUUGCCAUUCUCAAUCACCUGUUCUGUUUUCAAGUUCGCCAUCUUCUGUUGUUGCUGUUUCAACAUCGGAACCUCCGGUGAAGACUGCGGCUGACCGCAGCCCCUACUCUGUCCUCGACUGUGCCCCGACUCCCUCUGAGCUGCUGCAGCGAGACCUGCUCAGGAACAAGCUGGGGUUGGUGGUUCGGCGCUUUUCUGAAGGCGCCGGCAAGCUUCAGUUUUUGAGCCGGAUGUUUGUUCCACUGCAUUUUCAGUUUGUUUUUCAGUUUAUCUUCAGACUGCGGUUACAGCUGAGUAGACUUGUUUACCUUUUCUGGUUACACUCUGAGGGCCUCCUGUCGUUCUAAAAACUACGACGUAGGUCAGGUAAUCGUUGCAAAGACUAAUUUACGUGCUUGGCCGAUCUGUUUGUCAGUUGUUCAAAGUGAAGUAUAUUGUUCCCUCAAAAAAAAAAAAGAAGUGAAGUAUAUUGUUCUUCUCACAACUUAUACUCUCACAGCGUAACCGUGUAAGAUGUUUGGUUGCGUAAAUGGCUUCAUAAAACUUGGAAAGUAACAUAAACUUACCAGAGGUGAUCUGAUUGCAGGAAAUAUCCAAGCCUUUGAGGCGGAAAGGGGGUGAGGAUACCUGACGGCGUUGGGGCGGCCGCGGAGCUCGGGAGGGAGCUUCCGUUCGUUUACGGCGUCCCUCACGUCCGCGAGGCGGUGCUCGGAUGACGAAGGCAGCUUCUUCUUCUUCUCCGGCGACGGCGACGGGGACGCUGCGGCGGAGGCCUCCGGGUCCCCGCUCCACGAUGCGGACCAGAAAGCCCGGCAGCAGCGGGCGGGCCGCGAGAGGAGGCGGCGCGCCGCCACGGAGAUCGCCACUGCCAUGGUAGAAGAAGCACAGAAGAGACGCGGCCGAGGGGGGGAAUGGACCUGACCGCCGCCGCCGCCUGAGGCGGUGCAGUUAACACGACCACCGUCCGAACUGGGGAUUCCUCUCUCGCGCUUCUAAUGGGCCGGAUAUAUAAUCCGGCCUUUGUGCUUUCACCCCCAUGGAAUUCGGCCCAGAAUGGUUGUUAUGGGCCUUGAUUGAAACGAAUGGUUGAACGGUUCUGUCGGUUGGCGCGAAAUGAACGGCCGUUUGGGGACGAGACGGAUGGCUUAGGACCCUCGGAAUCCAGUCUCCACAAACUCAGCUACAACAAUGGCGAGCAAGGCUUGAACGAUCACCAUAUAUAGGCAUCCGGCAGCACAAACAGGAGAAUCUAAGCUGAUCAAGAAAGCCCCAUUGCUGGAUCCGUUUCCACGGGAGAGAAGAGGAAGAGGAAAGGCAGGGCAAGGAGGGAGGGAUCGAGGAUGGCGGCGGCGGAGGACAUGGAGAGGAUCUUCAAGAGGUUCGACACCAACGGCGACGGGAAGAUCUCGCUGUCGGAGCUGACGGACGCGCUGCGGACGCUGGGGUCGACGUCGGCGGACGAGGUGCAGCGCAUGAUGGCGGAGAUCGACACAGACGGCGACGGCUUCAUCGACUUCGACGAGUUCAUCUCCUUCUGCAACGCCAACCCGGGCCUCAUGAAGGACGUCGCCAAGGUCUUUUGAGCUGCACUGCCGAUCUGCCAUCUGCGUACGGCGUCAUUCUCUUAUUACAACACGUCUAUAUAUGUCGGUCCUGUGCUAUUUUUCAGUUGAUGAGACCGGUGAUUAAUUGUUUUGACAAUUUAAUAGUUUGUUAACUGUCGAUCAAUGUCGCAUUAUAUGUAUACACUUGUUUUUUUGAAUGGUUGAGCUUUAUCGAUAAUUAUAUAAUGUUCAGUUGUUCAUAUAAAUACGCAUAGCCAGUUCUUAACAAGGUUUUGGCAGAUCCCUUUUUUUUCCGGGGACAGGGAUUUGAGGUAACCACAUAUUGUUAUUUUUUUUUGUAAAUAACGGAUCUAAGUUUUUUUCUUUUGAAGAUGAUUCUGUAUUUCACGUAUGUAAUUCUGUUAACACAAGAUAGUAUAAUGGAUAUGGAGCUAUCUCUUCUAACUCGAGGAUUACAGGCUCAAUCAUGCCUUAAAUUCAAAAUUUCAAAAUACAACACUUCUAUUCGAUAAACAUAUUCAUGGGACUGGAAAAAGAGAUUAGGGAACGGUAGCCUAAAAUACCAUCAAUUAACCAAAACUUUGGUUUGUAAACACAAGAAGACACAGCACAGCCUAGCCCAUAGAAACACACCACUGCACAACCCACGGUCUCCUAACUGAACGAACAAUGUGCCACUUUGUUGCUUGUUUGGUUGAUAUUAACCAUCUGCGCACCUUUGGAAGAAGAGCCUUUGUGAUCUACCACCAAAUCCAGUCUGCUAGCCAUAUAUUGAAUCAAGGACUAAAUUAAACUAGUACAAGAAAAAGAGCAUACACAGGACAUCCAACACUACUACAGAAAGGCUUAUCAGUAACGGUCGAAAAACAACAUCAGUAACGGUCGGUGCCGCCGUUACUAACUUCGUGUUACUGAUGAUGGGUAUCAUUAGUAACGGUCGCAGACAGUAACGGUCUCUGCGACCGUUACUGAUGUACAUAUCAUCAGUGGCGGGCGGCCCGACCCGACCGUUACUGAUGUACCAUUUAAACAACAUCAGUAACGGUCGCUUUGCCACAUCAGUGUCGGGCGAGCGACCGAAACUGACACAUUUUCAGUAAUUAAAAAGAACUAAAACCACAGAAAAUACACAGAAAAAUAUAUAUUUGAAUACACAGCACAUCACAUCACAGCACAACACAGAAAAAUACACAGCCACACCAUUUAAAGCAUACAAAUGUAUAUAAAGCCACAUCAUUUAAAGCAUAUAAAGAAUACAAAUGUAUCUCACUUCACGACAUUGAUUACAAAGUGUCAAAAUUUCACAGAAGCAUAUAAAGAAUACAGAUGUAUCUCAUUUCAAGUUUGAAGCUAUUGUUGUGGGGGAACCCUAGUCACCACUUGUUCCACGCGUUCGUAGAAGUCUCCACUAGGUUUGAUGACCUCAUUGUUGAUGACAUGGUCGAACUCCCUUUGAAUGUUAUACACGACCCAUUUAGGUCGGUGUGCCAUUGUCAUUCGAGGCCGCCAGUACUCUUCCAUAGCCGCGAUUGACCCCUUUCACUCAGGCUUGAACAUGCUGGCAUUCUCCAUAAGGAUGUGACAGCAGUAGUAGCCACAGUACACGCUGCCGGCCGGCGGUUGCUGGCAAGGAAACCUGUGGUUGUGGUGAGGCUCGUCUUUAUAGCCUUUACCAGCUAGUUUUCCCUUGGUCGCCACUUUCCAGGCAGUGUUAAUCAGUGAUUUGAUGGGUUUCCAGUACCGAUCUCGAACACCCUUCUUCGGAAGUAGUGAAUCCAAGUAGUACACCGCGGACCAAGGCAAACAAAUGAGUAGUGUCACCCAAUGGUUUCUGUUUUCAAAAGAAACAAAAUUUAGUAUCUAAGGGUGUAUAAGGAAGAGUGAAUUAGAAAAAACAAACGGUUCCAUAUAUAAAAUUGAACUUACUCCAAAUUAAGGAAGAAGAGGAUAAAGUCGUGGUCCGCGUAUUUCUCCAGACAUGCCACCAAGUAUUUAGAUGACAGGGUUCUUGAGGGAUCCUUUUCUGGCUCAAGACCAAUGUCACCGUAGUUGAACACCGCGGGGUCUAGAAUGACUACUUUUUUUUACCUCCAUUCGCCGCAUUUCUCUUACUUCGUAGGCAGACCAUAGCCUUAAGAGGUUGAUAUCAAGCUUUUGGCGGUUGAAGAGGUGGAACAGUUCGUUGAACUCCACACCAAAAGUGAUAGGACGUUCCUGAAUGUCCCUAGUUUCUUGGUCAAAGAAGCCAUAGUCUCGUGGGAUUCAACAUUGAUUUGUUGGGCAUGCUGUUGAGAACCAGCUGAUGCUUGCAUGUAGAACUGAUGAAGCUCUCGCAUCUCUCUGGACACGGCACGCAGGGAAUCUUCGGUGACCAUCGGUCUUCCAGUAUAGUAAAUAAGCACCCGGUCAAACUCCCUAGCCACGAAAUAUGAUCCGUCUUCGAAUCUCUGGCCUUGACGGGGGUUCUUCAUGAGAAUGUCAGGCCUAUUGUCUUCCCAGACUCCAGUUAUGUCAGGCACAUAGUGCAUCUCAUCUUGAUUGACAUUGGAGAAGUCCUUGAUGGUCUUGCCACCGUGCCCCCUCUUUUUAUUCCUCCUCUUAUUGUCCCAUGCCUUUUGCUCCUCUGCCUUGUACUUGUCAUCGAUCCUGUUGCCACUGAUGGACUCAGCGGCACCCAAGAGAGAGAAGGUAGGAGGGACGCUUCCAGCCUGUGCCGACCCUGUGGUCUGGCUAUCUUUGAGCUGUGUAGGCAUCGACAUUGCCCGCUCCUCAUCUCUGCCGGCAUCGACAGGAGGAAGUAUCCUAGGGGAAAGGCCGAGCGGUGAUUGAGAAGUACCUUUGUGGGCGGAGCGAGAUGGAGUCAUAGAAGGCCGGCGCUGGUUGUAGAAAGACCAAGCUCCUAGGCCACAUAAUACGGUAGUUUGGACAACCGCCUAGGAUAUCCACGCCUUCCUCCGGAGGUAGCGAGAUAGCAUAAUCACGAUGGUCGUUGAUGACGGAGUCCACCAUCACACUCACUUGUGUGUCGUUCAUAUGCCGUGCACCAGUGGCGGUGAUUGUCUGGGCAUCAGGCGGCCAAUGGCGCCUACAGGCUUCCUAGGCUUGUCUAUGUGGAUACGAAACUUCACCGGUGCCUGCGUGUAACAAGAAGAAGGCAUAUGUGUGUAAGAUCUUUAUUCAUGAAGGUAAGGAGUGAAAAAGAGUUUGAAAAGUAUGCUUACAAGGAUGUUGUCGCUCCGACCCGGAUCAUUAUCCCGGAUGCCCUCGCUUGGGUCCGGUUGGCUAACGGGGGGGUUUCGGCCAUUCCUUUUAUAUGCUGAAGCACAUCAGUGGCGGUCACCUUACCACGCGACCGUUACUGAUGAGCAUCUAUACAUCAGUAAUAGGCGAGCGACUCAGCAACCGUUACUGAUGUGCUCACAUCAGUAACAGGCGACAGAGCGACAGACCGUUACUGAUGAGCACCUAUACAUCAGUAACGGUCACAGAGUAGUUGACCGUUACUGAUGUGCUCCUAUGCUUGUUGGGGCAGUUGUACCAAUUUAAAUUUAGAAAUCCUGUCCCAUUGAAAAUAUGUUUGAGGAAUAAAUUCAUGCAUUUCUCUAGUAUUUGUGCUACAUUAAAUUCAAAAAAUUCAUCACAUGUGAUGAAGACAUCCCAACUAAUGAUACAACCAUAGCCCCUACAGCACCUACAACUCAAGUACCGGACAUACAUGGACCAAUUACUAGAGCUCGUGCACGACAACUAAAUUAUCAGGUACUUCCGUUCCUCGGUAGUUCAUUUAAUAUUAAUGAGAAUAUGCUGCUGCCUAAGAUGGGUUCUUUUAUGUGUUUUAGGAAUGAAGGGCCUAGCUUGGACCUCAAGGAUCAGCGUUAGACAGCAAACCAUGGAGGUGGCAGCAAGGUGGCAGGAGCUAGCUCAAGUGAUGAUUUCAGAACAUUGAAACCGCCAUAACGAGAGAUGAGAAGAAGGCCGCAUCCUCUUCAUCAAUGGGAUUUCGGCCAAGUGGAGGAUUCCCCCUCCAAUGGGUAUUUAUGGGCCAAAGAUGAGGGUUAUAACCUUGUUUUAUUGGGUCUAAGGCCAUGUAAUAGGGUCCAGCCAAUUUUUAGAUGUUUUCGUUAUGUUUUAGGAGGAUUCCUAGGCCGUUUCGGAGUCCCUCAAGGGCCUGACCGAAAACCACCUAGUUCCCCUCCUAUUUAUACCCCAUGAGCCCCCCUAUGGUGUUGGAAAUAUGCCCUAGAGGCAAUAAUAAAUUUGUUAUUAUCAUAUUUCAUUGUUCUUGAUAAAUGUUUAUUGCCCAUGCUAUAAUUGUAUUGAUUGGAAACUCAAAUACAUGUGUGGAUAAAUAAACAAAUACCGUGUCCCUAAUACGCCUCUACUAGAUUAGCUCGUUGAUUAAAGAUGGUUAAGGUUUCCUAACCAUAGACAUGUGUUGUCAUUUAAUAACGAGGUCAUAUCAUUAGGAGAAUGAUGUGAUGGACAGACCCAAACCUAAACAUAGCUUUUGAUCGUGUCACUUAAGUUUAAGUUGCUUAUGUUUUAUUAUGUCAAGUAUUAUUUCUUUAGACCAUGAGAUCAUGCCACUCCCUAGUACCGGAAGAAUACUUUGUGGGCAUCAACCGUCAUCUCGUAACUGGGUGAUCAUAAAGGUGUUUUUCAGGUAUCCCAGAAGGUGCUUGUUGGGUUGUAUGGAUCAAGACUGGGAUUUGUCACUCCUUGUGACGGAGAAACCUGCGUCAAACGAAAUCAAAAGACAAAAACAAGUUCGAUCUAGUAGAAAAAAUCUGAAAAACGAUCCAAUCUAAUCCAGCAACUCGACACGAUUAAUGCAGCAAAGAUUCAACAAUGCAAAACUAAAGUGAAAAUUGCAAGGCUCAGAUUGGUUCUAGGACAACGUAACUAAUCUAAAUUAUUAUUUUUGGCUUUUUCUUGACAAUAGGUAAAAAACAGAUCUAAGCUAGGGAUAAAUUGAAAGAUCUCAGCGAGCAACGUUAAGCUCUGAUACCACGUGAUAGCCUCGAGGGUGUCCCGAUAUUUCGGUGAGAUACCUAAUUAUCGAUUUGGUAGGAGGUGACGUUGACGAUCCGACUACAACCUAGGAGGCAGCGCCUUAGCAAUCGAUACACCAACUCCAGAAGGUUAUUGAUC